AAAUAUUGCACACCUUGAUAAAUUUGGACAGUUUCAUAACUGUUAAUAUUAUAAACUCUUUCUUCAGUUGGAUGCAACUGAACAACAUGAGAUUUUUGGGGAUAGUAUUUAUAAGGAGCUGCAUUAUUUUGCCUUUGUGGAGGUGAAGGUCUUUCCUUUCUUUUGCCCCAAAAUUCAUCAAUAAGAUCAAACCCUUCUUGCCCUAUCUUGGCUAGCAACUGCUCUUUUCUAUGUGCCAUUUCUUUUUUUGUGUGUGUGUAAGUGGAGAAAGUUGGUGUAAUAUCUAGCUUAGUAGAGAGAAAGAGAAGAAGAUUGUGUUUGUUUAGAUAAUUUCAUGGCAAUAGACCCUUUAUAUAGGAACAAGAGUUCCACAAUCAUGAUAAGGAAGGAAAAGGGUGGUAGAAAAGUAUUGUGUUUAAGGGUGUAUUUGGUACCAAUAAUCACCCCAACAACCCCAAUUCCGAUUUCAUUAUAUUUGUCUAGAUUAUAUAUAAAUAUUUUUAUCUUAUUAUAUGCUUGUAUAGGAUAAAUUUUGUACAUCACAUUUCUUAGAGUGCGAUUCUUUCUCAAUCCUACUAACACAGAAUGCUUUAUUAGCGGAAGUACCAAUCGAACGCAAGAAAAUAAUUUUAAAAAAUAUUAACAUCUCAGAAAAAUGUUUCUAUAAAAAUACUUUUCAUGACAAACGCGCCUUUCCCCCAACUUGUGGUGAUUCCUUUACAAUAUUAUAUGUGUUUUUUUAAGAAUAAAAUUAAAAGGAAAAAAGGCAGUGUGCAGGUGGCUGAUUCUUUUAUGUGGUGGUAAUUAAGUAAAUACAUUUGGAAACGUCUAAAGUGGUCAUUAGAUUUAUAUUCUUUUUUGAUUUAUAUGACUCUUCAUCUUCAAGCAAAAGCUCCCAAAUAUUUUUGACUCUUGACCUAUCAUUCAACAAUUAUUUAAGUGCGCGAUGAGUGUAGUAACUUCGACAUGCUUUUUGUACAAGGUAUCUCAUUGGUUGAUAAAAGUUAACACCAAACUAAUCAAAGAUAUUGAAAACAAAGCUAUGUUAAUAAAAAAAAAUUAGUGGAUCAGUUGUAUUACAUAAGUUAAUUCCUAAAACACAUGAAAAUUAAGGAUGAAAAAGGAAGCGAGACGGAGAAGAAAAAUAUUUACCUUAACCCGCUAAAUUUAUAUUACCUUAUUGUACCGCAUUAAGCAUUUCUUCUUACUUUUACCCUGCUCCAUUGAACAUUCUUAAAAUUUCUUGUACUUUUUAUACUUUUAUUUUGUAAUGUUUUACUUUAUUUUGCAUUUUAAUUUUUUUUAAAUUAGUAUCCAUUCAAACACAUAUCACUAGAAAAUUAUCAAGAUUCUCUAAAAGUGUGUAAGUAUAGAUUUACUAAUUUUAUAAUGCAUAUUCAGAAGAUAAAUAAAUGGCAUCAUCAAUUUUUUUAGUUCAUGUAGUUUAAUUUACUAGGUUAGUCAUCACUUGUUGAAAAAAAAUGACGAAUAAAUCAAAUAACUUUAGUUUCCAUCUCUCUAUAAUAUAAUUGAAAAAAUAGAAAAGAAAUUCCAUGAAUUCUAUUAAAUAUACUAGUAUACGUCCCGUGCGUUGCGCAGAUAAUUUAAAAUGUAAUAAUUUUAUAAUUAAAAAUAACUAAUAAAAUGUAUUAUGCACUUAAUAAUAUAAUUUAAUUUAUAAUAAUACAAUAAUAUUAAUCAUUAAGUUAUUUAUUUGAGCAUAAUAAAUUAAUAUUAUUAGUACACACUUUAUUUUAUUGUAUUAAAAUAUUAUUUCUUUUAGUUUUAUAAUUUAUCAUGGUGAAAUUUUUCUAAGGAUACUAUUAAUUUUAUGAUUAUUUUAUCUUGAUCAAAUAUGAAAAGCUUCAAAUAUUUUUACGUGUUUUUACUUUAUUCUUUUUAUGUCAUUUGAAAAAAAACUUAAGUUAAUAAUUUAUUAAUUCUAACAUUUCAUAUAAAAUAUUUGAUAUCAUGAAAUUAAAUGGCAUGUUAAUACAUUUUCUAUAUAUGUUUUAGUUAAAAUCAAAAUAUUUUCAAAAUAUUUUUUAGUAUUAAAUUUGUGUAAAAAUAUAAUAAUAUAAAAUUGAUUUAAAGGUAAAAAUAAUCUUAAUUAAUACAACCGCUAUAUUAGAUUUACUCAAAGUUUGUAUUGGUUAUUUUAAAAUUUUAAUUUGAAUUGUAUUAGAAAACAUAUGGAUAUGAAUGAGAGGUUGUUGAUUUGAAUUUAUCUGCUUGAGUAUAUUAUGUGUAAUAAUAGUUAUCUUUGUAUUCAAUUUUUUUUUUAAAAAUAAAUUGAAAAUUUAAAAUUGUACCAUAUAUUUUAGAAUCGCAAUUUUCAACUUAAUUUAAUGCUGUUAUUAUAUAAUAUUAUGAAUUCUUAAAUUUGCUAAAUGACUUAUAUUUGUAUAUUGUUCAAGAUAGAAUUUAACGCUUGCUAGAUAUAGAUAAAUAUUAUUUAUCUUAAAUCCAAAAGUUUAAAGUUAAUGAAAUUUUAACGUGACAAGUUUUAUUUAAUUAGAACUUAUCGCGUAACUUAUUUAUAUAAUUGGCUACUUAAAAUUUAAAAUUCAAAAUGAAUUGGUUAAUAGUUAUUGAAUCCUAAUUUUUAGCAACAUGGAAAAGAAGUUUUAAAACUCUCUAUUUAAUUGGAUAAAUGUUUUUUUUCUAAAUAAAGAUUAAUUCGGUAUUGAAAUUGUAAUUUUUAUAAGCGUAAGAUUUUGCAAUGUUUUUAUAGUGUUUGCAAUUUUUAUUUUUAGUGUUUGCAUUUCUAAGUAACUUUUUUUUUUGUGUUUGCAAUUUUUAACCUUUUAUUUUUUGGCAAUUUUAAAAGUUAACAAUGAGAUAUUAGAUAUAUAGAUAUAUACACUACCGCUUUACAUAUAUUUUUAUUAGUUUUUCUAAUCAAGGAUUUUUAUAUAUAAAUGAAUUAUUCUUCUUAUCAUGUUUAAAAUAUAUUAAACAUUUUUAUAUAUAAAUGCAGCAAUCUAUUUAUUUAAAAUAAUAGUGAAUUCUUAUUAUUAUUUUUUAAAAAUAUUAAAAUUUUAGAAGUUGUGGAAAGAUAGUUAAAAUAUUUCACAUAUAUUAACUUCCCAUAAAAAAGGGAAUCACUUACGUGCUUAUUAAAUAUUUUGUGUUCUUAAUACAAAAUAAAUAAAUAAUUAUAUCUUUGUAAAACCUAAAUUUUAGCAGCAUUAUCUUAAACAUUUAUCAUGAAAGUAAAUUUUUCAACUUUUAUUUAAAAAAAAUUCGAACUCCAAUAUUUUUAAAAAUUUUAAUAAUAAAUUCAGUUAUUCCCUAUUUUAUAGAAUCAAUUUAAAAUCAUUUUAUUAUUUAAAAAAAAUCAGUUUUUUAGCAUUAUCUUAUAUAUUUAUCAUGAAAAUAAAUUUUCAACCUUUUACAAAAUAAUAUUUUUUUAACUAAUUUAUAAAAUGGAUUUAAAAAAAGUAUUUGUAUCUGUUUUUAAAAAUGUUGACGGUUGUCAUUAUUUGUUUAAGUUGAUGACAUGUCUCAAUAUUUAUUUCAAAUUUUAAUUUAUAAUAUUUAAUUAGUUAUAUGAUAUUUAUUUAGUUAUAUAAUAUUCAAUUAUAUAUUAUUUAAAAUUCUAAAAAUUUGUGGCCCUGACAUGUGGCAUGUUUUCUUCCCCUAUUAUAUAUAGAUAGAUAUAUAGAUAGACUAUUAUUAUUAUUAUUAUUAUUAUUAUUAUUAAUCUGCAUUUUUUGUUAUAAAUAAAUAUGUUGUAUUUUUAAAUUUUAAACUAAUAACUACCCACUAAAACCAAUCCUUAAAUUCUUUUUAAUUAACGUGAUGCAUGAUUUAUUUUUUAUUUGAAUUUUGAAACUAAUAACUAUACUCACUUCACAAUUAAAAAUUUUGAAAAUUAAAAAUUUUUCAUAUUUAAUAUUUAUUUUUAAAUUUUAAAUUUGAAAUUAUUAUGGGACACUAAUAUCACCCUUAAAAUUCUCCUCUAACUAAUCUAUCAGCAUUUAUCUUUAUUAAAUUAUAAAUUAUUUUUAAUUUUUAAUUUACUAUUACUCUCUUCUUUCAUUUUAUGUAAUUUUUAUUUGUUUAGUCUUUUUUUCUAAUAGGUGUAUAUUUUAUUCUUCAGUAUAACUUAAACUUAUAGAUACUAUUAAGAUUUAAUUUUAAAAUGGUAAACUAAUUUUAUAUAAAUCAUUAAUGUAUUAUUUUAAUAUUAAUAUAUUAAACUUGAGAAGUUAUAAGCACUACCAACAUUAUAUUAUGAGAGAAGCGUGAAAAUAUACAUGCCAGUUCAUUUCAAGUCAAUUCUAAUUCAAAAUUUAAAAGCAAUAAUGUCAAUUAUUAUAUUAGAUGAAAAUAUGAAAAUAACACUUUGUAAGGCAUCAUUCAUUUUAUAUUAUUAUAUAAUACAACAACAAAGAAAAUAAUUUUUUUUAUCCUUUAUUAAAAAUAUUUACAUGAUAAUAGAAUACUAUCAUAAGAAAGUGAAAGUAGGAUUAGUGGUGAUUUUUAAAUCUUCGUCUAUGAUUUAAACACUACAAAUCAAACUUAAAAUUACUCUUUAAAUAAUUAAUGUCCUAUUUUUCAAUUAAUGAAAUUUUAAAAAAAUUAAAAAAAUUUACUAAAGUUUUUGUUAUUUGGAUAAAAUCAAUUGUGUUAUAAAUUAUUAGGUAAUAAGGAUUUACCGUCAAAGAAAUAUCAAGCCACAUAUGCUAGGUAAAUUACACCAUUUCCUAACGUCAUCGGCCUAGUUCUUAGUGUAUGGAAAAUUCAAACAUUUCAUGGGAAUCCAAAUUAUGAGCAUCAUUUUGGAGUCGUAAUUUUGCUCUAAUAUUGCUCUUUGCUAUCAUAAUUUCAAAUACAAAUUGAAGUAGAAUCAUAGACAAAUGAGGUUAAUUACAAUUCAAAUUUGAUGAACAAAGAAAAGUAUAAAAAUAUUUGGCAACUUACUUGGACAAAAUGAUGUUUGGGAGUUUUUUGCCUAAUGGAAACUAAAUUCCUUUCAACAAUUGCAAGCAGAAGAUUUUAAAAUUGUUUGAAAUUUUGAAGUGGCAAUUUUUAUUUAAGUUAGGGCUUUAUAUAAUAUUUGGAUAACUGAUACAUCUGACAGCUAUUUAUAUAAUUGGGCUGCUUAAAAUUCAAAAUUCAAAAUGAAUUGGCUAGUUGUUAAUUGGAUCCUAUUUUUUAGCAAUGUGUAAAAGUGGGAUAAAAUUUAUAUUUCAUUUUUAAUUGUUUUGGCAAUCGGUUUUAAAAUUUCAAAUUAAUGACUAAGCUAUUUGUAUUUUUUUUAACUACGGAUUUCAUAUUGGAUUUAUUUGGCAUUCAGUUUGAAUAUUUUUAAAAUAAUAGCUAAAUUAUCUAAUUAAUUGUCAUAAUAAAAUGAAGAUUAAUUCAUUUUUGAAACAACAAAUUUUGUAACAGUAGAUUUUAUUAUUAUUAUUAUUAUUAUUAUUAUUGAAAACAGUUAUUUCUAAUUUUUACAAAAGAAUACGUUGGAAAAGUUUACAGAUUGUUUAAACAUUUUUAAAUUUUAAAUUUAAUUUAAAAAAUAACUUCGCGUUCUUUCUAUUCCAUCCCAUUCCGGGAUAGGCGGCUAAUACUAAAAUAAUAAGUGAAGUAGUCGUCGUCUGACCAAUCGGCUCGGACACCAGACCGCCCGUGCCCGCCCAUUUUGUCUCGCCCUAAAUGGAAUGGCUCUCUUAGUUACGCUGCGCCCCGACCCGAGUCUAAUACAAAAUUAAAUUAUUUAAAAAACUCUAAUUCACAAAUUCUAUGGUGAUGAUAUGUGUCACUUUUUUCCUAUCCUAUUAUAUAUUUAAAAAUUAUUUAAAAUACUGAAAAUUUGUGGUGUUGACAUGUGUCAGUUUUUCUUCUACUUUUAUAUAUAGAUAGAUAUUAUUAAAAGGAUAUUGACGAUUUUUAGUUCUUCAUUCAAUUACAUCUAAUUUAUCUUUAUAUAUAUAAUUCAUCAUUUUUAAAGAGUUGUACAUAAAAUUAUGUUGAAAUAAAAUGACUAAUAGAUAUAAGAAGAAUUUAAAAAAAAUGUGUCUAAUAAAUUUAAACAAAAACAAUGUGUCUAAUAAUUCAUCAUUUUUAAAGAGUUGUACAUAAAAUUAUGUUGAAAUAAAAUGACUAAUAGAUAUAAGAAGAAUUUUAAAAAAAUGUGUCUAAUAAAUUUAAACAAAAACAAAUUAGAAAAAUAAUGACAUAAAAGAGAAAAAAAUAAUGAAAAAGAGAAGAUGAUCCAAGCCCAAAAGUUGAGCCCAAUUCCAUGCAUUAAAAAGGGUAGAAAAUAAGAGAAGAGGAAUUGUUGUGCAUGGGAUUCAAACCCACAACAUAAAAACCACUGCUGAACCCCUUAUCCAUUGAGCUAAAGCUUAUCACUUAUUUUCAGGGGGUUUAUUUUAAUAUAUGUACACAUAAAAUCAGAAUUUGGUCCUAUAUAUAUAACGUAAUUUUCGAUCGAGGGGGUUCGGGUGAACCCCCUGGACACAACCUAGGUCUCCCCCUAUUUCCGUGCCGUGCUAAAUGAAAAAAGGUUUAUGGAUAUACCAUCUCUACACUUUGGGUAAUGCUAAAUGGCCAGAAAAAAUUGGCCAGAAUUUGGCCAGAAAGGCAAAAAGACUAUAAUAUCCUUAUUUCAAUUUUUGCAUUUAUUCCAUCAUACUUUUCCCUCCAAAACAAAAGUAACUUUUUUCUAUUUCCCAAACUCCUUGAACUACUAAAAUACAAACUUUUUGGCUACCAAGGGAAAUAAAAGUAUUUUUGUGUAUAUUUAUGUGUGUAUAGUUCAUUCGAUUUAUUUAAAAAAAAAAUAUUGUUCAGUUAAUUAAAAAAAUUGUAGUUUCAUUUUUAUACAUUAAUAUUUUAAUUUCGUUUUUAUACAUUAAUAUUGUUUUCAUUACUAUACCAUACAAAUUAUGUUCUAUAUAUAUAUAUAUAUAUAUGUAAUGUGGGGUUGGUGUGUGAAAUGACCUUGGGGUACUAUGUAUGCUGUUUUUAAUUAAGACAAUACUAAUAGAAGUUGGAUUUCCCUAUUUAUUGUCAAACUUUGUGCUUUUGAUGUUAUAAUUGCUUCCACUUGAAUGAUGAUAUUGCCUUUGUAUGUGUAUUUGAGCAGGAAGUACAAUUCACUCUUAUUAGCUCUUUCCUAUGUAUGCUACGAAAUACUGACCAUUGUAAUCAUGUUAAAGUUGCACAAGUACAAAAACAAAAAACAUGAACUAAAACCUCCAUUGCUAAUGUUGCUGAGGAAACUGAACCACUUACAGGGAAAAAAAAUUGACCAAACUUUGGACUAAAUUGUCUGAAGUUGUUCCCAAGGUUUGUAACAAGUUCACUGGAAUUAGUCUGAAAUUGUGGAACAAAUUAAACCACCUAUUAAAAAGUUGUUGAAUCAUAAUUCAUAAAUAUGCAAUUAUUUAAUGAAAAUCACAAUACAACAUACUUAUAGAUUUUAUACUUGCUUCACCCAUAUUAAUUGUUCACCUUACUAUAAAUAGUUGUCCUAAAUUAUUUGACCAUUUACCAAACCAAGACAAAAUUAAUUAAUAUUUUUCCACUUUACCCCUACAAUUAAUGUUUUUUUGAAAGCCUAAACAAGUUCCAAAAAACUUCUUCUUUUUUAUAAGAGUGGAUAAAGAAUAAACUAGUAAAACUACCUAUCUUAUUUAUAAUUUCUUAAAGAUUAUAAAAGAGAAAGUAGACAGCUAGCAUGAAAUGGAGAGUCACAGUUUAAAUAAUGCUACAAUCAGACAUCCUCUAUAGUUAUAUUUCACUAUAACAAUCUACUUCUUCAGAAUUGAUUUUUCAUGUUAGAAUUUACUUCUCUAUAAAAACAUUCUACACGAACACUUGCCAACUUUUACAUGUUUACAACCUUUCUAAUGGCUAAGAAGAGAACAGUAGCAGGAUGUUUGACUUCCUCUCAUCUAUGUGUGGUAAGAGGAUAAGCAAAGCACAAAUGGAAUAAACGAAGACAUGAAGGAAUACAGAGCAUAAAUGAAUACAUCUUAAAAGUAUUUGACUGAUACAACCAUAUUCAUAAGUAUACGAGUAAAGUUUCUGAUACUAACAAAUUAAAGAUAGCAUUUGCCAUAACAAUAGACAAUUACCAUUAAUUAAUUAGUAAAAGAAGAAAAAAAAGGUAUCACAAAAAUGCUACUCCAGGAGCAGCAGGAACUCAACGUUCAGUAUACCUAUGAUCUGAUUCAGUUCAUUUUGAUGUCGGAAAUCUGCUUUUCCACAUCUGUAGCAAUGUAAAAACAAGUAAGAAGGCAGUUCUCCCCCAAAGACAAACAUCGAUAAAACUAGGCUUUGUUUACAAGCAGAGGCAAAAAUGAAAAUACUCUUCUCCUGACGCGACAGUAGAAGAAAAUAAAAAGGAAACUCAGGCAUAUCUACCAGAUUUAUCUACCUUGCAUUGUAAGUUCAUCCUGAGGCUUGGCAGAUUCCUCCUGAGGUUUUUUAUUGCUGGAUGGAGAAAAGAGAGCUCAAUGAGAAGUGUGAUGUAUUUACUAAAAUAGCUUGAAUGGAAAAGCACAUGAAAUCUGUCUAUUGAAAAAGCAACCCCUGCAAAACACCACCUAUUUUGUUCUUUCCCAAUCAUCCAUUAUUAUACAAGGAAAUAAAGGUUUUUGUAGCUUGAAUCGUGCUGCAAAUAAAAAAUAGCUACUUUGAACUGUGCACCACGGGGCAGGGGCCCCUUGGGUUUUUAUAGGCUUUUCUUAUACAGCUCUCGUGUCAUGCCAAGCAAACACCCAACCACAAAUCUGAGCACUGUCCAAUUUAUUCCAUGUAAAAGAGGUAAAAUUUCCCCACUAAUCCCUUCCCAUUUAACAAUGCAAAUCAUGUAACUCACUCUUUUAAGACAUAUCUUUUUUUGAUAAGGUAACUUUGUAUUCACACCAAAAAACUCAUCAGGUAAAAACUGAUGAGGUGGGAUUUACAACCCCCAGAGGACGUCAUGCUAACCAAACCCACCCCCCAAAAAAAAAAAAAAGAAUCUUAACAAUUUUCCUAUGAUAUAUCCUCAAUCUUCUUUUAAAACAUGUGCUACUUCUCACAAUUCGACUAGCAAAGCAGCAUCACCCAUUCCUCUUUAUUGGUUUUCAAUAUUAUUCCACUAAAUAAAGAUUCAACUUCACAUAAUGUAAUUCAAAAAAUUAUGUAGGAGAAUUUUAAACAUAGGUUUCACUGGCAGUUAAAUCUAAAGGUAAAACGUAUUAUCAAAAUUACAUUUACAAGCAAAUAUAUGUGUUUGCUUCAGCUAAGCAGAAACCAAGAUUAGCCCCACCCACAAACCCAUCGAAGAACAUAGUAAAUUGUUUUCAAAAAUAGGCCACUGCUUAGUCAAUAUUUUAUCAUGGAUAUUAUUUACUAUUUUAUGAUAGUGGUGUCUAGGGCAGCUUUCAUGCUCAUCGACUAUUCCACCGAGGACGUACAUCCUUCCAUCAGUACAAGUACAAAGUAACUCUUUUUACAACCGUGGUGCCCAGCCAGUGUGCGCGCACCACAACUAAUUACCCGCUACCUCCAAGCUCCUCCGACAGGCCAUUAUGGUCAAAUUAUGGUCAAAUUUUCUGGCCAAAAGGAUUUUUCCCUACACUUUUUAUCCAGAAUAUAUGUUAUUGAGAUUCGAAAGAACAAGAUUCACUAAAAAACACGGGUUUUAGCCACGCAAGAAGUCGUGGCUAUAUGGUACACACAUUGUGGCAAAAAAUACUGUGCCACGGUUCUAUUCAUCAUUCAGUCGAAACUUCAACUUGUUGCUUUCCAUAUCAACAAGUGUCAUGCAUGUUGCCAAAAAUGGUCUUCCCUAAAUUAUGAAAACAUCGAAAUCCACCUCACAAUCUUUAAGAAUUACAAAAUCAGUUAAAAAGAUGAAACUUUUCACUCUUACCAAUAUAUACAACACACAUAAUAUCCACGCAUCUUUUUGACUAAGUGGUCAACCAUUGAUAGUCAUAUAAUCUUAGGUUUGUGGACUCCCAAAUCCAACUUUCUAUUGUUAACACUCAAUUUUGGCCCUCCCCGAUAAUGAUUGAUCUCCGAGCUUCUUAAUUUCCAAACGGUUUAGAAUAAUUAGUCUUUUAAAAUUCAAAUAGCUUCAAGGUUAUUUUAAGUAAUUUCAAUCGACUUUUAUAGCGUUUUGAAUAAUAAAUAUAUUUCAUAUAGUUAUAUAUGUGAUUAGUAUAUUUUUAUAAAUAUUCGAAAAUCAUAUCAAAAAGAUUUUGUUUUAUUAAAUUAGUUUAGUUUAAAUCAUGAUUGCAAUUUUGAAAUUAAUUAGUUUGUUUAGGUUAAUCAUAUUUAAUUAAAUUAAUUAUGUUAUUUCGUUAUGAUUAAGAAGCUCGUUAGUUAAUUAUAUUGAUUCUUCUUAUUUAGAGUUUAGCCGAAUUCACCAUUUAAUUCAAACUUGGUCAUAUUAAUAGGUCAAUUUUGACCAAUCGUAAUCUAUGUGAUUAAGUUCUAAAGGAUUUGGCUUACUCCUCUUGAACCAUUUUGUUUUCUGUUUAUUUCAAGACCAUCACAGCCCAUUUCCCAUUCCAAUUCAUCAACCCAGGCCCACUUCUUCCCCCAUCCCACUUUCAUUUGUUCACAAGACCAACAAUACUAAACCCAAUACAUUCAACAACUCCAAACAACGUACAACAACAAAAACUAGUGCCCCACCAAUGCGUUUUCUUCCCCAGAUGCGAGCAGCCAAAAAAAAUCACGAAUCGUACGCGAAUCGCGCGUGAGUCCCGCGUUCCUUUCCUCUCCCUUAUCCUCUCCGUACGCGAAUCGUACCCGAUUCAUCUAGAUGGAGCAAUCUCACAGCUUCUUCAUCCUUCGCUCAGAAAUCGGACGGACGCCAUUCUCUAUCCGUUGAGAACAGUACGAAUUACAACUCCUCCAACCUUAUCCUCUAAAGAAUUCGAAUGUUGAAUUUCAAGUUUUCACCCAUUCUCCCUCCAGAUUUCCCCCCUAAAUCAGCCUUAUUUCUCCUCUAUAUAAGCUCUUUUUUUCUUUCAGUGUUAGGGGUGAGAAAAAAAAUGGAGUGGAUAUUCAUAAAUUAGAUACAACACGAUAGAGAAAAUACAAAGGUUUUGAGAUAAAUAAUAUAGACCCGAAAGAAACGAGUGAGAUAGAGAAAUACUCAAGUUUUUGUUUCGUUUUCUUUUUUUUUAGAACGACAUUCUCUCUGUUGUCUCGUUUUGGUGGAGAAGUCGUCUUCACUGUUAGCUCGUUUCGUCCAGUUUGCUGCCCAAAAAAAGGUAAACGUCUUUUCUUAGCUUUGUUUUUGUUGGAUUCGUUGUUGUUCUAUACUUUCUGUUUAAGUGUUCUUAGUCAUAUUUUAGUUAUUGUGUGUUAGGAUCGAUUAAGAAUCCGCUUUGUCUUGCCUAAAUUUUAGUUACUAUUUCAUUUAAAAAUGUAGAAAAGUUCAAUUUUAGUUUUUGUUUUGGUGCUAGCUGAUUAGUUUAAGCUAUGUUGAUCACAUUCUGGCGCAUCUUUCUCGACUUGGAUUAUAUGGUUGUAAUUUGCCUUGUGCUUUUCUUUCUAGUAGAGACCGGUUUUCCUUGGCUUAGCCAGUUUAUUUACUAAAAUUGAUUCUCGAUAACUAGCAUAGUGUUUUGGUUUACUAAGUUGGUUUGAACUCGAAUUUGUUGACUGUUGAUUAGCUUUAAGUUCUCUUUCUUAUUUUAUUAUUCAAUUACUAGUCCUGAAUAUUAGUUGCUAUUAAGAUUAGUUAUUUCCUUUUUCUGUUUAUGUGUUGUUGAUGUGUCUGCAUGUUUUCAAGAUUAGUAAGGUUAUUUUCAUCAUUGUUUAAGUUGGUAGCUAUUUCCUUUUCUUGUUCUUACAUUCAAGUGAGGUGUUAAUGUGUUGGGAGAGAUUUUGACUAAUUUUAUAGUUGGCUCAAAUCCUAUGGGAUGAUUCAGCUUACUGAAGUUUUGGUCCGAAAGCUCUAGAAAUUAGUUCUGUUUAGAUUAUAUUCCUGAGUUACCAUAUGGCAGGCUUCUUGAGUGUUGUAUUUAAAUACGGGAACUUGUGGUUGUUGUUAUUUGAGUUCAUGUUAAUGUCAAUCAACUCCCUUUAACAGUGAAUCCAUUUCUAUUUGAUUUAGUUCUUUCCCUUAGUUCAUAUGUGUGGAGUAUGAGGUCUAGCUAAAAUAUGGAAAGCUUCUAUCUUUAUUUUGUUUAACUGAUAGAUACUUAUAGUUAAAUAUUUGGUAUAAUUUCAGCAGUUAUAAAGCAUGUCACUUAGAGUUUUGAGUUACUUUGUUUGCUUAGUAAGUUCUCUCGUGUGUUAAUCAAUUGUCUUGUGAUUAAGUUAAUAUCAUCCUAAUAGUGUUAAUCUUUUUCCUCUUUUUUUUUCUUUGUGCAUGAACACUCUCUUGCUCGAGUCCAAUUAGACUCCAACCAUCUCUUGCAUUCUUCUCCCUUUUGAGUCAACCUCUACAAAAGUCGUGGAAAGAGAAGCUGAAAAUGAUAAAUUUUGGAGUCCAAGUCCAAGUAGUGGAUAGCAACAAUAGUCCCAAAUGGCUAGAAGUAUCAUUUCUGGACUUAAAAAGUCUAAGAAUGAUAUGCCAAUAGCAACAACGAGGAGCGGAAUAGGGCCAAAAGCCCACUUAAAUUUCCAGUUCUGUAUUUUGUGUAGAUUGGGACAUAAAGCACAUAUAUUUUGAUUAUUAUUCUGCUAGUCUAGGAUAGGUGAUGAUUGAGCCUACAACCCAAUGGAGAAAUUAGCUUAUCUUAGGAUAGGUGCAAACGAGCUAUAAGGCCCAAAAUGAAAUUAAGCCCAAGUACUGGCCCAGGCGGACAGAUCCAGACUUGGGCCCAAAUCUUCUUUCCCUAUCUCAUUUAUUUGCUAUUAGGUGUUUUACAUGUUUAUUUAAUUUUAAGGUUUCCUAAUCAAUUCCCCAAAAGAUAGUCACUUCGAAAUUUUCUAAAGACUAAAUAAUCAUGCUUAUUUUUCUACUUAAAUUACUUCAAAAUUUUACUCAAUAAUAUUUUAAUAUCUCCUUCUCCCCUAAAAAAUCAUUUUAAGUCUUAAUUGCUCAUUCCCUCUAUUUAAUCAAGUAUGCAUAUUAUCUUUAAAAUAACUAGCCAAAUAGUUAAUUAUUGGAUAACUGCGUGUUAGCGGGCAUUUCAGGUGCUUUCAAAUCCUUUUCGAAAUGCUAAUAUGAACCCCGAACCCCCUUAUGAUAUUUUCAUCAGAUUCCCUGUUUUAAUCCUUUGAAAAGAUAGUUUUCUUAAUUUUCCUUUAAAAAUUAAGUGACGACUCUUAAAACCAGUCGUUUUUUUUUUAUAUUUUUGAAUAAAACAUCUAUAAGUAGUAAGUGCCAUCAUAUUGAUGCAAGCACCCAAGUGACAUAACGCCUUAGCGAAGUUGAAUGAUCCGAUGAUGCAUGGAAUAGUGAAUGCAAUAGGGUCUUCUUUCUUCCGAACUAACGACUUCAUAGUAAUAACAAUAUUGCAGAUUAUAUAUCAUAUCAGAACUGGAAGUAUCUCUUCGUCAUAUCCAAGUCUUCAUGAACUUGGCAUAACUCGACAUCUUUUCAAGGGCCUCAACUAGUGGAAUGUUCACUGAUAGUUGUUUCAACAUAGAGAUGAACUUAAGAAACUUCCCGUCCUCCACUUUCUUCAUCAAUAUUUGUGGGAAUGUGAGUGAAGGUCUAAAAAAUUAGAGUUCAAGUCCUCAUAGCCUCAAUCCAUUGUAACAUAUCCUCAAGCAUUUGAAUUAUGUGCUCAGCCUGACUAUUUGUCUGAGGGUGGAAAGCUAUACUACUAAGAUUAACCUGCAUUCCCAGUCCUUUCUGGAAAGACUUUCAAAAGUUAGUGGUAAAUUGAUCCCCUCUAUUAGAGAGAUAAUAGAUACUGGGACACCAUGCAACCUAACAAUCUCUCUGAUAUAAAGCCCUGCAUAGUCUUCAGCUGUGAAAGUAGUCUCUUGACCAGCAAGAAGUGGGAUGAUUUUUUUAGCCUAUCAACAAUUACCCAAAUAGAGUCAAACUUGUGUUGCGAUCGAGGUAAUCUAGUAAUAAAAUCCAUAUUAAUUGCCUCUCACUUCCACAAAAGAAUGACUAUCUCCUGGUCCAGCCCAACAGACUUCUGGUGCUUAACUUUCACUUGUUGGCAAUUAGGACAGUGUGCCACAAACUCAACAAUGUCCUUUUUUAUCCCGGGUCACCAAUAGAUCUCUUUAAUAUCUUAGUACAUCUUCAUCAAACCUAGGUGAAUAGAAUAACGGGAAUGAUGUGCUUCUACCAUAAUUCAUUGUCAAAAGCCUAUAGCAUUUGGAACACACAAUUGACCUAUAUAUAUGAGGACUCCAUCUCCUGCUAUUUCAAAGGCUAAGUACUCCUUAUCAUGAGCCUUUCCUCUGAGCUUCUCUAUGUAGGGAUCCUCGUGCUAUCUUGCCUUCAUUUCAAGGAUUAAGAAUGAUACAACUGUGCUCUAAACUUUGACCUUACUAACAAUUACCUCUAAUAAUCUGACUCCCAAAUUGGCUAAGUGAUGACGUUCUCGAGCUAAUUCACUCCUCUCAACAUCGAAAUGGGAUAAAAUACCCAUUAACUGAAGGCACUGGUUACCAUAUUUGCCUUCCCUGGAUGAUAUAAAAUAUCUAUGUCGUAGUCUUUCAGUAACUCAAGCCAUCGACACUGUCGCAGAUUUAAUUCCUUAUGUCUAAAGAUAUAUUGAUGGCUCAUAUGAUGUGUUAAGAUAUCAACAUGAACGCCAUAUAAGUAGUGUCUCCAGAUCUUCAUUGCAUGCUCAACUGCAGCCAAUUCUAAAUCAUGGGUUGGGUAGUUCUUCUCAUGCUUCCUCAACAGCCUUGAAGCAUAUGUUAUCACCUUACCAUGUUGCAUCAGAACACAUCCUAACCCAACACCCGAAGCGUCAUAGUACACUGCAUAGCCCUAUGAACCCUCUUACAAGGCUAGGACUGGUGCUGAUUUCAAGUUGUCCUUCAGCUCCUGGAAACUAUGCUCGCAAGCCUCAGUCCACCAAAACUUAACUUCUUCCUGAGUCAGCUUUGUCAGUGGUGCUGAAAGUGAAGAAACCCCCUCUAUAAACCUUCUGUAGUACCAGCUAACCCUACGAAACUAUGAACCUCUGUCAAAGUUGUGGGUCUAGGCCAAGUCUUUACGACCUCAAUCUUCUGUGUAUCAACUGUAAUGUCCGUAUCUGACACAAUAUGGCCUAAUAAAUCCACAUAGCUCAACCAGAACUCACACUUAGAGAACUUUGCAUAAGGUUCUUGAUCUCGAAAAACCUUAAGGACUCGCAAAUGAUCUGGAUGCUCCGCUUCCUUCCUAGGUAUAUUCCUACCCUACCUAUCGAAAUGAAAAAGAAGUCCCUUUUACCAGGCUCAACAUGAAAUCAUUCUAAAAAGUUGAUCCUUCUCUUCUCUUGCUUGACGAACCAACUUCAGGCCUUGAUUCGUCCUCUGCAAGAAAGGAACGAGUCGGUUCUCCUUUCCGUCUUUCGGUAGCAUAAAGAAAAUAGAUGCUCGGCUUUUGAAUGUGAGCACACCAAAAUAUCAUCAAUAAAUACAAUCACAAAUAGGUCUAGUUACGACCUAAAUAUGCUAUUCAUCAAGUCCAUAAACACUAUUGGGGCAUUGAUCAAUCCAAAAGACAUCACCAAAAACUCAAAAUGUGCAUAUUGGGUUCUAAAAGAUGUCUUCCGAAAUAUCUUUCUCCCGAACACAUACCUGAUGGUACCUUGAUCUUAAAUUAGUGUUUGAAAAAUACUUAGCACCUUCUAGCUGAUCAAACAAGUCAUCGAUCCUUAGAAGGAUAUAUUUAUUCUUUAUAGUCUCCUUGUUCAACUAUCGAUAAUCGAUACAGAUCCUUAGAAAACCAUCUUUCUUUCUCACAAAUAAUACUGGUGCACCCCAUGGUAAAACACUAGGCCUGAUAAAACCUUUAUCCAGCAAAUCUUUCAUUUGAUAUUUCAACUUUUUUAGCUCAGUAAGAUCCAUACCUAGUAGCAUACCGAUAGCAAAAUCAAUUUCUUGUUCUAGCAAAAUACCAGGAAGCUCCUUUGGAAAUGCAUCCGGAAACUCAUUAACCACCUAAAUAGACUAGAGAAUUGGUGGUUCUACAUCCAUAUCCCAAACUCAAACAAGAUGAUAAAUAAAACUUUUAAUAAUCAUCCUCAUUGCCUUAAGAUAGGAAAUAAACCUACCUUUUGGCGCUGCUAUAUUGCCUUUCAAUUCUCGCACUGCCUCUCAUGGACAAUGAAAUCUAACAUUCUUUGUCUAGUACUCAGCAUUAGCAUAACAAGAUGCAAGCCAAUCUAUACCCAUAAUGACGUUGAAAUCGACCAUCGCUAACUCUACCAGGUCUACAAAGGUCUUACGAUCAAUUAUUUAUAUUGUGCAACCUCUAUAGACUCUUUUGGCAAUAAUAGACUCACCAAAUAGUGGAGAAAUAAUAAGGGGUCGAGGUAAUGAUUCUGCUCACAACUUCCCCAUAACAAAUGGAGUAACAUAGUAUAGGGUAAAACCUAGACCUAUCAAAUCAUAAACACAAUGAGAACAAAUAAUCAAUGUACCUAUCACAACAUCAGAUGAUGACUCUGAGUCUUGUCAGUUAGCUAGUGCAUAUGCACGAUUCUGGCCAUUACCAGAACUAGAUGCUCUGCCUCUAACUGCUGAAGUCUGAGGUCCAUGCCCUGUAGAAUGUGCUGAUAAGGAAGAACCUACAACUAGCCCAUUUGGUUGACCUAUACUACCCUGACCUAUAGUCGGGCAGUUCCUCCACACAUGCCCUUUUUUACCAUAGGGAUAACAAUAUAUGGAACCCUACCUAUAUCUCCCGAAAUACAUCCUAUCGCAUGUAGCACAAUGCGAUGGGGGAUGACCUAGCUUGGCAUGAACUCCUUUGUUGUUGAGUUCCUAAUGUUUGUGAACCCUCACCUCAAGUUGACUGUCCGUAAUGAUCAAGUCUAUUACCUUGGAACUGCUAUAAUAGAGGUCUGGGUGGCCUACUAUGAUAUCGAGGUCUAGGACCACCCUGAAAGUCCUCAUGUGAACUAGCGGUCCUAGCCUACUUUUGCUACUCUUUCUCAACUCUCUCAUUCAUAUACUGUUGAUAUCGGCGCUCUUCUAUGCAUUGUGCAAAGGCAUGAAUUUAAGAGAUAUCCAUAUUAUCAUUUAGUAUUGUGAUAGUGCUAGCAUCGAUAUAGUCUGAAUCAAACCCUCAUACAAAUCGUCGAACCCUAUCAUGCAUCGUAUCAACAAAAUGUUGGGGCAUACCUAGCCAAUGAAUCAAAUAUCAACCCAUACUUUUUGACACUCAUAAUGCCCUGUCGAAGGUCUAGGACCUGAUUUACUCGGGCAUCUUAAAUUUCUCAAGAUGGAUAGUGAUUUAUGAAAGAUUCCGUAAAGCUAUCCCAAGAGGAUGGAGGUGCAUCUUCCCUUGGAUCUCUCCCAACUCUCAUAAAUACUACAACAUCACGCAAUCGAAAGGUUGCUUACUCAACUGAAUCAGUCGAUGAAGCAUACAUGACCCUGAAGAUCUUAUGAAGCAGAUCGACAAAAUGUUGAGGGUCCCCCCUACGAUCUGUCCCUGUAAACUAUGAAGAACUCAAGGCUAGAAACUCAUUAACUCUCAAACUUCUAAGCACUUCAGAAGGUCCGACAACUCCUAGCGCAACUCGCUGGUACUGUGCAUCUACUAACUAUAAUAACAUACAUACUACACUCUUGAAGUCAUGAUCAUAUGGAAUAGGAGGAGUUGGAGGUGGUACUUCUAGUUGUGUCGUGGAUCCUGUAAACCUCAAAGGCUCUUGAAUUGGUGGAGAAACUAUAGGGGUGAUAAGAUGUCUUAUAGUGAGUCUUACAAUGAACUAUCUCCGGUGGUACCUUAUUGGUACUCUCACCUAUAAUUGUAUCCAACCUCUAGCUAACUGAGGUAUAUCUGGUGUCUGCUAUCUCUCUAUAUACAAAAAUAAAAUAGACCCAGCUCUAUAACACGAGGUGAGCAAAAGAAAGAUGACCAAUCUAACAUGCCAUGUAGCUUCUAUCUUAUAAAAUGUGGUGCACAACAAAUUUAUAAGAAAGACUGCACUAGACAAGGCUUAUAGACUCCCUAGGAUACGACGUUGCUCUGAUACCAAGUUUGUCAAGCCCCAAACUCAAAGGGUGCAACUGUCACCUAAUGCUAAACGUAGGCCCUAAGCCAACCCUGUUGAACAAUUUGCUAAUAGCGCGUAGUCACCACACAUAGUUAAGAAAACAAAUGAGUGUAUCUCGACUUAAAAAUAAGCCCUCGACCGAUAAGGCCCAAGCCAAUAGCUAUAUAAAGGAAAUAACUACUCCUAACGGUUCAUAUAAAGAAGUAGCCAAGCAAAUAAGUCCUAUUUGGACCGCUGACGCCCCUAUGAUAUCUAGAAAAAUGUAAUCAUUUUAUAUUAAGACAAUACAUUAAACGACUAUCAAACUUUAUUCAACCAACAAACAAGGCAAACAUGGCCAAUAACGUUUCUAUACAACCCAACACACUAGUCUGCAAACCUCUAAGGGGUCAUUUGGUAGAGUGUAUAAAAAUAAUGCACAGUAGAGUGUAUUAGUAAUACUUGCAUUAGUAAUACUUGCAUUAGUUAUAUAUAGAAUAUUUUUCUUGCAUUGUUUGGUUUGGUGUAUUAAAAAAAGUAAGUAUUGUAUAAAAAUGUUUAUUUACAAAAGCAUCCUCAACAAUUAUGGUGGAAAAGAUGUAAAAGUGCUUUUGAGGGGUAAUUGAGUCUUUAACCAUGCUAAUGUAUGUAUUAAAUCAUUUGCAUUACUAAUACCUAGAAAUUCAUGGUAUUAGUAAUACAUUACUCAAUACACAAUAUAGUGUAUAACUAAUGCUUGCAUUAGUUAUACAUGGCAUAAAAAAUGUACCAAACAAGGUAUUACUAAUGCAUAAAGCUAAUGCAAGAAUUAUUUUUGUUAAUACAAUACUCUACUAAACGAUCCCUAAGAGUACUGAAGCUUGGUCAGGACAGAGUCCCGACCUACCCAAAAACUAUAUACAACAAAAGCCAACAAACCUCUUAACUCUAGUAGCUUCGAAAGAAAGAGGAUAGUCAACCUACUAGAAUUCAAAUAUGUUGUUGGGGAGAUUUAUCGAUUCAUCUAUCGGGACCUACAAGAAUGAAUGCAGUGCCUCCACGCAAGGGGCGUCAGUACAAAAUAAUGUACCAAGUAUGAAAGACAACAGACUAAAAUAAGAAGGUAUCAUAAUAUACUAAAGGUAAUGAGGUAAGGAAAUAAAGAAUAAGAGAAGCAUACUGACAUGCUGCUAAAUCUAAACAUACAAAAAUACUUAGACAACAAUCCAACCAAGCCCCAUUAAGCUUAACAGAUACAAACAACAAACAAAACAACCUACCUAGGGCCCCAUAAUCCCAAAAGGUUCCAAAUCAAUCUAUAUACCCUUAUCAGUAGCCCCUUGUCCGCGUAGGAAUCCACAUAUCUCUUAGGUAAUAAUAUAGCCUCGUAGGCAAUGCAUAGCCCUCUUAGGCAACAACAUAACCCCAUAGGUAGUUCAUAUCCCUCUUAGGCAUAAAUAUAUCCCCAUAGGUAGAACAUGACAUCAAUAUAUCCCCGUAGGCAAUAAAUAACCCUCUUUGGCAUCAAUAUAGCCCUGUAGGCAAUGCAUAACCCUCUUUGGCAAUAACAUGACCCUCUUGGGCAACAACAUCGACCUCUUAGGCAACAACAUAGCCCUCAUUGGCAGUUCAUAACUCUGAAGCUGUAACGACUUAUUCCCAUCAUUAUGAAAAAGCCAAUGGGGAAAGAAUUUGGGCCAGAAAUUUUUUUGAGUAGUGACUUGGAAAAUUGUAGCCUAGUCUAGAUUUGGACGAAAUCUGAGUCAGGUGAAGUCUAGGGAAAUCUGGUAAGGAAUAGAGGAUUUACCUAUGAAUUUGAUCACAUGAGUGGAUAGCUAAGACGUUAAGGAGCCUGUAUGGCUUUACAAAAUCGAAUUCGGGCGAGUAGAACUCCCAAAACUUAUCUUGGCGUGAAAGGGUAGUUUCUGAACGUCAAGGAUUAAAGGUGUGUUGCGAAAUAGGAGCUUGGAACUCAAAUUCUGACUUUCUGUCUUUGUGCAAGCCUCCAGAGCGGGGUCGCUGUAGCGGGACAAUCGUGACUUAAAUUAGGGGAAAACCCCAAAAAUGUUAUUUAUCUGCAAACCUUCAUUCUUAAGAGAUAAGGAAUGACCCAUGGCGAUUUCUUAACAAUUUUCCAUGACUUUUGGUGCUAAAGGUAAGGAUUUUACUCCCCUAAUCCGUUUUUCGAUCCGUAGAACUUAGAUUCUUAGGUAAUUAUCAUUGGGGGAGGGUUUUUGCCUGAAGUUGAUGAUGGGAAAAUCCCUAGUUAAACAUUAGCAUAUGUGUUUGGUCUUGAGUUAUUAUCAUUGUUAUAAUAUGGGUAAUUAGACCUUGUUUAUUGAUCCAUGCGUUAAAUUACUUGUUUAUAGACCAAGAACAAGCGAAAAGAAUACGGAGAGGGAAAGCUCAAGUGUCUUAGCAGGAUUCAAGCUUGGUUUCGAGGUAGGGAAUGCGAAUCAAUCUAAUGAAAUAAUGAUGUGUGUCACAAUACAUUCCAUGAGCAUGUUACUUGAUUGUAUGAUAAUGAGUAUUGUUCAUUAUGGAUGUGAUUGUGAGUGUGGUUGUGCUGACUGGAUCAGGUGUCACGUUUCAACAUAUAUGUUGGAUCGGGUGUCACGUUUCGACACAUAUACUGGAUCGGGUGUCACGUUCUGACACAUAUAUUGGAUUGGGUGUCAUAUUCUGACAAACUAAUAGUUUGGGCGUGAGAUCCAUGAGAGGACCACUUAUGAUUAUUAUGUUCUUGUUUACGUGUCAUUGAUAUUGGGGAAUUGUAUGUUAUUCCGAAAAUGAUGACUGAUCUAUGUAUUAUGUAUAUGUGUUCUUAGUGUUGUAAUUGUUCGUUGUAUAUACUGUGCUCAUUGGAGUAGCUUUGUGAUCCUACCAUAUCACUGUGGUUGUGUAUUGAUAUUGCACUUGCUCUUUCUUUGUUGAGUACAGGGCAUCUUUAAGUGGCAACUGACAAACCUCAGUUAGGAUACUAUUGAGUGUGACCGGAUUCAAGGGUGAGCCAGUUCUUUCAGGCUACCAUAGAUCUUUCUUGUUUAAGUCCACUCUUUUCGGACUCAGACUAUUUGUUUUGGGUGUUUAGUUUAGUUUUCGGGGUUGCGCCCCAUCUUUCUUAGAAUUGUUAGUUAGUUAGAGUUUUGGUACAAUCACUUUCUAUUCUAGCGUUUGAAUUUCCGCAUUAGUUAUUUUGUUAGACCUUCAGUGUUUAUGGGAACUCUAUACUUUCUUUUAGUCAUUUAAACCUGCUUUCGUAUCUUUAAAUGUGCUAGUUUUCGUUAAGUUGCUUAGUUGGGUUGAAGUAAUGGUUCUCCCAUCAGAGGAUUAGUGUGGUUACCAAUCACGGUGGUCUAGGUCGUGACAAAGUUGGUAUCAGAACCCUAGGUUCGUUGAUCUCAUUGUACCAAAAUGAGUCUAGUAUAGUUUUGUGGAACGGUACAGAGACGUCUGUACUUUUUCUUCGAGAGGCUAUAGGACUUUAGGAAAACUCAUUUCUUUAUUUCUUCGUGCUAUUACUUGAAUCAAAUUGGUAUCUAGGUGAUACAAAUUGGUAUCUUUCCUCUUUCACUCUAUGGACAGAACUAGAGCAACAGAAGUGGUAACACCAACAUUAGCAGAGAGGGUGCGUCCUUCCAAAUAAGCAUGUUUCCCCUAUUCGAUGUGGGCAUGUAAUGACUAGUAACUAACAUGAGGUUUUUAUUAGGUUCUAGAGGUUGAAACCUUCAUUCUUCAUGGGUACUGAAUCUGAAGAUUUUUAUGAUUUUCUUGUUAUUGUCAUGAACUGCUUCAUAAGAUGGAUAAGGUAGAGUGAUUUGGCAUUGAGUUUAUGAUAUACCGGUUCAAGGGUGACACUAAAAUGUGGUGGUGGUCUCAUGUUGAGUGUUGACUAGUAAAUGCACUACUCAUGACUUAGGGAAGCAUUUUAUGACUUUCUAUAUAGAGAAGUAUAUACCCUGAACUUUGAUGGAUAGGAGGAGAGAUAAGUUCCUGAAUAUAGAGCAACUUAAUAUAAUUAUUGCAGCUUUUAAGGCAAAAGUUUGUGUUUUAUCCAAAUAUAGUACUCCACUUUGCUUCAGUCUAAAAGAGCAAAUACGUCGUUUUGUGAAGGGAUUAAGGUCAGAUUUGAAGAUUCAAGCUUAUAGAUAGCUGCUUUAGCAAAAUCUUUUUAGCAAGUGGUUGAUUUUUGUGAUGGAGGUAGAAGGGGGUAAAGUCAGAAGACUUUACUAAGGUAUUAACAUUCAAGAAGUUUUGUAAGGGAAGGCUAGAUAAUGAACACCAUUUCAAAAAUUCAUUUAGUAUUAUUGUCAUAACAUGUAUGGGUUUCUUAGUAAAUGAUGAAAUUAUUUUGCGACAAUUGAAGUUAGAAUAUCUAUUGCGAUUUCCUAGAUUGAGUGUUUAUCAAAGAGGGUCAUGAUACGACUACUACAAUAGCAAUGAUGCUUACUUUGUCAAGUUAUUAAGUGUGUUAAAAUUAUGGAGAACCUGUGCAUAUGAGGAGGAAAUCAACGAGGUCAUGAAGGCCGGAGAAAUGGUAAUGAAGGUAGGGGAUCAGUGCCGCCAGGCAAGGAGGUUGCCCGUCAAGAUGGCAGGGCUCAAUUUUAUGCCUUUCUGGGAAAGACCAAGGCUGAGGUGUUUGAUGCAGUAGUCACAAGUGCUAUUCUUAUCUGUGACCGAAUGGCUACCAUUUUGUUUGAUUCGGGUUCUACUUAUUCAUAUUUGUCAAUUCAGUUUACCUUGAAAUUUGAUGCUGUGUGUGAUGUGCUUGAUGCCCCCAUCCAUGUUUCUACCCCAGUUGGAGAGUCAGUCAUAGUCACCAGGUGUAUCGUGCUUGUCCUGUUCUGUUUAUGGGUUUUCAGACGGGCUAAUUUGGUUAUUUUAGAUAUGACUGGCUUUGAUAUAAUCUUAGGCAUGACUUGGUUGUCCCCCUAUUAUGUUGUGCUUAAUUGUAAUGCUAAGUCUGUGAUUCUAGAGAUCCUUGGUAGGGAAAAGUUAGAGUGGGAAUGGGUGUACAAACUAAAGCCAGCUAAGGUCAUAUCUUUCAUGCGAGCUAGGAAACUGGUGGGGCAGGGGUGUUUGGUAUUUUUGGCUCAUAUUUAGGAGGUUGAUAUUAAGCCUCCCUCUAUUGAGUCUAUUCAUGUAGUGUCUGAAUUCAAGGAAGUGUUUCUUACCGAUUUUCCAUUCCUCCUUAUUGCAUGGCUCCGAUAGAAUUGAGAGAGCUUAAAGCCCAAAUCUAGGAGCUUCUUGAUAAAUGUUUCAUCUAUCCUACUGCUUCUUCGUAGGGUGUUCCUGUCUUGUUUGUUAAGAAGAAGGAUGGUAGUAUGAGGACUGGUGAUUUUAUAUUAAGCCAUAAAUGAGUGGAUUGAUACCGGAAUGGCAAACUUAUGGAUAAAGAAAGUCCCACUGAAUAUACUUAGGUAAAGGAAAUUCAAUAUUUUAGUAAGAAAGUGCAUAUAAAAGUUGGGUUAGUCCUUUGAAUUUGAUGAGUAUACCUGAGUUUGAGGUGUCAUGUUGAUGAAAAGGUUGACUUCGUAGUGAUAGUCAGGGCUGACUGAGCAUAAUGGUAAUAAGAGUUCGUGAUGGAUUGUGAUGGGAUGCAACUAUAUAAUAAGAUUGUGGUUAACCAAAUUUUGUAUAGUAAAUACAACUCGCGAGUAUCUAAGGUUAUGGUUUCCUAAUAUUUGGUGAGUAACGUGGUAGUAUGGAAGGUUUUAAGAGAUGGUGGGACACCAAUCGAAUAGAAUUUAAAAGAGCUAGAGUCAUAAUGAAGAAACAUAGUGGGAUACAGUAAAACCUUUAGAGAGAGGCGAGAGAAACAAUAUUUUAUUUUAUUUCAAAGUCUUAAGAGGUAUCUUCAGAGGGGUAGAUAAUUGGGUUCAGAGACGCGUGAAUUCAUUCAUUAUUGUGACUAUGGUAAUAGUGUCAUGGGUGCAUCAGAUUGGUUAAAAACUAUGGGAAAAGACUUAAGAAAGGAGUGAAUAGAUAUUAGCUCAAGUGUGAUGAUAAGUGCUUUGGUUUUGUUUUUGAGUUUAGUAAUGAGUACGAGUGAAUUUUUAGCAAAGGAUAUUGUAAGAUCAAUGGAGAUGUGAUCAAUGAUAAGCGAAGAUCCAUGAAUUCAUAAAAAUCUUCAAGGUACAAGCUAAUAUUGAUAGAUAAGGGGAUUGUGUUACACGGUUGAAUUUACAAUUCAUGUUUUUCAUUGUAAGUCUACAUUCGUGGUGAUAUAUUUUGUCAAGGUAUGAGUUGGCAAGGUGAGAAAUGAUCAAUUGUAUCAGCUAUAAAUCCAUAGAAAGGAACUACACCUGGGUUGAGUCGUAAAGUUUAUUAAUGUUGAUUGUUAAGUACCUAAAAAAGGUCUUCAUUUAAAAAGUAUUGGUUUAUAGUAAGAUAAAUGGUCGGAGUGUUUAUGAUGGUUGUUAGUAUUGAGAGUGUGGGCUUCANNNNNNNNNNNNNNNNNNNNNNNNNNNNNNNNNNNNNNNNNNNNNNNNNNNNNNNNNNNNNNNNNNNNNNAAUGUGAAGACAACUAAAUGGAAAUGGCUGGUAUCGACUCUUCGACGGAAAACAUUUAGUGUUAUGCAAUAAUUAUUUCGUAAAUUCUUAUGUGACCAUCUAUUUCAUUUGGUACAUGGUUGAGAGUAUGACUCACUAGCUAUGCUCACGUGUGUUUUAACUUUUGUGGGUGGAUCCUUGGUAGUGGAUCAGGUGUACCGAUCCUGCGAUGUUCUCUUGGUUGAAUGUGGGGAUCAUUGGGUCCAAUUCUAUUGUUCUUAAGGGUAAUCUACAAUCNNNNNNNNNNNNNNNNNNNNNNNNNNNNNNNNNNNNNNNNNNNNNNNNNNNNNNNNNNNNNNNNNNNNNNNNNNNNNNNNNNNNNNNNNNNNNNNNNNNNNNNNNNNNNNNNNNNNNNNNNNNNNNNNNNNNNNNNNNNNNNNNNNNNNNNNNNNNNNNNNNNNNNNNNNNNNNNNNNNNNNNNNNNNNNNNNNNNNNNNNNNNNNNNNNNNNNNNNNNNNNNNNNNNNNNNNNNNNNNNNNNNNNNNNNNNNNNNNNNNNNNNNNNNNNNNNNNNNNNNNNNNNNNNNNNNNNNNNNNNNNNNNNNNNNNNNNNNNNNNNNNNNNNNNNNNNNNNNNNNNNNNNNNNNNNNNNNNNNNNNNNNNNNNNNNNNNNNNNNNNNNNNNNNNNNNNNNNNNNNNNNNNNNNNNNNNNNNNNNNNNNNNNNNNNNNNNNNNNNNNNNNNNNNNNNNNNNNNNNNNNNNNNNNNNNNNNNNNNNNNNNNNNNNNNNNNNNNNNNNNNNNNNNNNNNNNNNNNNNNNNNNNNNNNNNNNNNNNNNNNNNNNNNNNNNNNNNNNNNNNNNNNNNNNNNNNNNNNNNNNNNNNNNNNNNNNNNNNNNNNNNNNNNNNNNNNNNNNNNNNNNNNNNNNNNNNNNNNNNNNNNNNNNNNNNNNNNNNNNNNNNNNNNNNNNNNNNNNNNNNNNNNNNNNNNNNNNNNNNNNNNNNNNNNNNNNNNNNNNNNNNNNNNNNNNNNNNNNNNNNNNNNNNNNNNNNNNNNNNNNNNNNNNNNNNNNNNNNNNNNNNNNNNNNNNNNNNNNNNNNNNNNNNNNNNNNNNNNNNNNNNNNNNNNNNNNNNNNNNNNNNNNNNNNNNNNNNNNNNNNNNNNNNNNNNNNNNNNNNNNNNNNNNNNNNNNNNNNNNNNNNNNNNNNNNNNNNNNNNNNNNNNNNNNNNNNNNNNNNNNNNNNNNNNNNNNNNNNNNNNNNNNNNNNNNNNNNNNNNNNNNNNNNNNNNNNNNNNNNNNNNNNNNNNNNNNNNNNNNNNNNNNNNNNNNNNNNNNNNNNNNNNNNNNNNNNNNNNNNNNNNNNNNNNNNNNNNNNNNNNNNNNNNNNNNNNNNNNNNNNNNNNNNNNNNNNNNNNNNNNNNNNNNNNNNNNNNNNNNNNNNNNNNNNNNNNNNNNNNNNNNNNNNNNNNNNNNNNNNNNNNNNNNNNNNNNNNNNNNNNNNNNNNNNNNNNNNNNNNNNNNNNNNNNNNNNNNNNNNNNNNNNNNNNNNNNNNNNNNNNNNNNNNNNNNNNNNNNNNNNNNNNNNNNNNNNNNNNNNNNNNNNNNNNNNNNNNNNNNNNNNNNNNNNNNNNNNNNNNNNNNNNNNNNNNNNNNNNNNNNNNNNNNNNNNNNNNNNNNNNNNNNNNNNNNNNNNNNNNNNNNNNNNNNNNNNNNNNNNNNNNNNNNNNNNNNNNNNNNNNNNNNNNNNNNNNNNNNNNNNNNNNNNNNNNNNNNNNNNNNNNNNNNNNNNNNNNNNNNNNNNNNNNNNNNNNNNNNNNNNNNNNNNNNNNNNNNNNNNNNNNNNNNNNNNNNNNNNNNNNNNNNNNNNNNNNNNNNNNNNNNNNNNNNNNNNNNNNNNNNNNNNNNNNNNNNNNNNNNNNNNNNNNNNNNNNNNNNNNNNNNNNNNNNNNNNNNNNNNNNNNNNNNNNNNNNNNNNNNNNNNNNNNNNNNNNNNNNNNNNNNNNNNNNNNNNNNNNNNNNNNNNNNNNNNNNNNNNNNNNNNNNNNNNNNNNNNNNNNNNNNNNNNNNNNNNNNNNNNNNNNNNNNNNNNNNNNNNNNNNNNNNNNNNNNNNNNNNNNNNNNNNNNNNNNNNNNNNNNNNNNNNNNNNNNNNNNNNNNNNNNNNNNNNNNNNNNNNNNNNNNNNNNNNNNNNNNNNNNNNNNNNNNNNNNNNNNNNNNNNNNNNNNNNNNNNNNNNNNNNNNNNNNNNNNNNNGGUUUUCAUUUAAAAGUGUUGGUUUAUAGUAAGGUAAAUGGUCGGAGUGUUAAAUGAUGGUUGUUAGUAUUGAGAGUGUGGGCUUCAGUGGAAUGAUGUGAAGAGUAUGUGGAGUCACUGAAUGGAAAGGGCUGGUAUCGGCUCUUCGGAAGAAAACAUUUAGUGUUAUGCAAUAAUUAUUUCGUAAAUUCUUAUGUGACCAUCUAUUUCAUUUGGUACAUGGUUGAGAGAUUAGGUAUUGAGCAUUUGAAAGGACUUACACCUGGGUUGAGUCAUAAAGUUUAUUACUGUUGAUUGUUAAGUACCUAAGAAAGGUUUUCAUUUAAAAGUGUUGGUUUAGAGAAAGGUAAAUGGUUAGAGUGUUUAUGAUGGUUGUCAGUAUUGAGAGUGUGGGCAUCAGUGAAAUGAUGUGAAGAGUAUGUGCAGUCAACUGAAUGGAAAGGGCUGGUAUCGGCUCUUCGGAAGAAAACCUUUAGUGUUAUUCGAUAAAUUCUUAUGUGACCACCUAUUUCAUGUUGGUACAUGGUUGAGAGUAUGACUCACUAGCUAUGCUCACGUGUGUUUUAACUUUUGUGGGUGGAUCCUUGGUAGUGGAUCAGGUGUACCGAUCCUGCGAUGUUCUCUUGGUUGAAUGUGAUGAUUUGGGAAGACAUGGUUAUUUUAGAUGACUUAUGUGGUGUUGUCUUGGAGUUGUUAAAGUAUUUCAGUGGUUCUNNNNNNNNNCUAGCAUUUCAAUAGUGUUGUUAGGGGGUUUGUAUGCUUAGACAUAUCCCUCGAUGAGUAUCUGAUGUCUAAAGAUAAUUUUUUUAUAACUUAAGCUCAUGAGAAUUUAUGUUGUGGGAUGGAGAUGUUGUUAAGAACUAUGAUUGUUUGGGUAUUAUGAGUGUGUGUUGGUUGGUUCAGGUUCACUUCUAAUUGUAGCGAGUAUUGAUUUGGAAUUUUAUCAUGCUUAAGUAUGAAAGGAUUCAUCCUAAUGAUUGUGUCAAGGUCCUUGAUAAGAUGUUGCAGACGUGUGUAUUGUCAAUUUUGGUGGUUGUUGGGAAUCACUUUUGUUGUUAGUUAAGUUUACAUACAACAAUAUUUAUCACUCGAGUAUUGAGAUAACUUCAUUGAGGCAUUGUAUGGGAGGAUGUGUAGCUAUUCAAUUGGUUGGCUUGAGGUUGAAGAUGUGAAUUAGGGGGUUGAUUUGGUGAAAGAUGCUCAAGAUAAGGUGAGAAGAAUCCAACUAAGUGUAACACCCCAGAAAAUUUUUGAGCUAAGACUUGAACCGUUCUUCAUAGUGAAUGAGAUUUCACCAAGGAAUUAAAAAUUUCUUAAGUGUUAAGGUCACUAGAUGUAGCACCUUGAGUUCCAAGAAGAACUAAAGAGAGUUCAUUCAAGUCAUUCCUAAGUUUUGGGUCAACUUCAAAUGACCAUAACUUUUAGUACAUGAUCUGUUAGGAGAUCCAUCAAAUAUAAAAUUAAAUUCCUUCGAGUUCUCUUUCCAACGCCACUGAAUUUGUUAAAUUUCGAGCUCUGAGUGAAACGUUAUGACUAUUUACUAACGGCGUAAAAACCUGGCAACAGUUCCGCGAUGGCUCCGCGUUACGGAGCCAAUACGGACCUCACUGCCCGGUGAAAAAUUAUUCCGGCUCCCAACUCAUUUUAUUUAUUUCUUAAAGGGUAUUUUGGUCCUAAAAACCCUUAGGAGGUCAUCUAAAUUACCCUAAACGUGUAGAAAAAGCAGUUUUCAUAAAUCAAACCCUUUCAUCCACUUCAAAAAAAUUCUAACGCUCAAGGAAUUGAAGAAACGCUAAGGCUCGGGUUCUUCUUCCAAGAUUUUACUUCAAGAUCUUCAAGAAAGAUGGUUCUUUUAGGUAUGUAAGCUUCCAUAGUGUUGGGUUUAUUCACCCACACGCCAAUCAUGUUAAUUUCAGCGUUAAGUUCGUUCUAGAAAGUUGAAAGUAUGAUGUUCUUGAAUUAUGUUCUUGAAAUUGGCUUUAGUUCUUGACUUUAGAUGAGAUUGUUGAGUUCUUGAUGAAAGCAUGCCGAUUUUAGAGUUGUAUAUGAGUAGGCUCUUGCACUGGGUAUCUAAAUCUAAAGAGGGAUUGAGAAAAAAAUAAUCAAAUUUAGGCGAAUUGGGGUUAGAAAAUGAAGAAUGAAAUAGUCGGGCGAAUCUGGCAACUUUCUCCGCGUCGCGGACCUGCCUUCCCCUUUCACAAAAAUUUUCUUUGCGUCGCGAAGAGGUCAUGGACCUUUCUGUCUCAAAAGUUAAUUCGCGACCAAAUAUUAAAAUGCAUCUCCGCGUCGCGGACUUGCUUCCAGACAGUGAUUUCUUGAUCGUUUCUCAUGUUUAACUAUCUGAAAACACUCCUAAACAUCACGAGAUCUUUCCUAUCACAAAUAACAACCUUUAAUUCAUAAAUCAAAUUCAAGGUAGAGUUGAGAGUCAAGUCUUGAGAGUUCUUUCAAGCAUUUUGAGAAUGUCCCUUUGAGUCUUUUUGAGGAGUCUUCUACAACUUAUGGCUACUUGUUUCAAGACUCGAGCAAGUGAGUAUGAGAAUGAGAAGAUUGUAUUCAUGAGUCUACUUUAUCAUCACAAGAUCCUUCAUAUCAUGAACCAUAACUCUUGAAUUCAUAAUUCACAUUCAAGAGAGAAUUAAGUGUAGAGUUCAAGAAAGUCUUUGAGUUCAAUUGUGAAUCCUUUGAGAUCCAUCAUCGAUUCGAGUUAAGUUUUGAGUAUGUAAGUAUGAGAAUGAGAAAAGUCAUAUACAUGAAUUCCUUAUUGAUGUUUUGAUCGUUGAGUCGAGUCAUUCAUGCCCAUAACUUCCGCAUGAACUCCAUUAGUUGAGUAUCUUUUAGAGGAGUAGUAUCUUCAAGUUCUAAGUCUUGAGUAUCGAGUUCCUAACCCUUCUGAGAUUAUAAUCAUAAUCAUGGGACUAUUACGUAUUACCCAUGAAGUCCAUGAGUUGAGUAUUUCAUGCUCAUAAUUCCGUAUGAACCCUAUAAGUCGAACAAUCUUGAGAUGAGAAGUAACUUUGUGCCCUUGAGUUGAGUAGUUCAUGCUCAUAAUUCCACAUGAACCCUCUGAAGUUGAGCAUUCUUUAAAUGAGUAGUAAUCAUUGAAGUUCUUGAGUUCCAAGUAUUGAGUUCUACCUAUGGUUAUUGAAAAUCUUGCAUUGAGUCAUUCACGUCCAUAAUUCGACAUGAACCAUAUUUUAAGAAGUCUUUUACAAAUUGUUUUAACUUUGUUUUAAGACUUAAGCUUUAAGUUGAAGUAAAGAGUAAGAGUAAAGUUCAUUUUCUUUAAAAUGAGAUAAAAUAUUCCUAAGAGUAAAUGUUUUCACAUUUAAGAUGAGAGGAAACUGAGAUUUCCGAAAGAGUUUUGAGCAGUUUGAGUACUAUCUCUUUUAAGAGAAAGUAUUUUGAGUAAUUAUCUCAAAUCAAAAGAAAAAGUUAUGUUUUAAACAUAUGAGCUGAGUUAUUUUGGGAGUAGUAUUGAGCACCGAUAUGGGGACGAGUUUGAGUUCAGAUAACUCAGGUCUCCAUAAACUAUGUAGCCAUUAUGGGUAGAAAGGAUCAUACUUUUUAGAUGAUUCAUUAGUGCUUUUUAGCAUAGACUAGUGGAUCUACUUAGUUAAGGUGUCCUAUAUGACGGCAAAGUAUAGGACAGUUCUGGCAGCAUGGGCAAGAUGUUGUAUCAUCACUUAGGCUCAUAGUGGUUGUUGUCAGUUAAAUAAACUCCCACAGAGUUAUAUUAUAUUUUAUUAUAUAUAAAUUGAGUUNNNNNNNNNNNNNNNNNNNNNNNNNNNNNNNNNNNNNNNNNNNNNNNNNNNNNNNNNNNNNNNNNNNNNNNNNNNNNNNNNNNNNNNNNNNNNNNNNNNNNNNNNNNNNNNNNNNNNNNNNNNNNNNNNNNNNNNNNNNNNNNNNNNNNNNNNNNNNNNNNNNNNNNNNNNNNNNNNNNNNNNNNNNNNNNNNNNNNNNNNNNNNNNNNNNNNNNNNNNNNNNNNNNNNNUUUUGAGUAUCCUUGAGUAUUCCUUGAGUUGAGUAAGUUUGAGAAGAGGUAAGUAUGUUUCCUUUUUAUCAAGUUCGAGCUUAUGUUAUGAGUUCUUAUUGUACUUUUCAAUACACUUAGUUGUUUUCUAUUGUUUUAAAAGCUUUCCAUAUAUUGCAUAUGUAUUGUUCCUUUAUAUUGAGUUGAGUAUCAAAAGUCGAGUAUCUUAUUAUUGAAUUGAGCCUAUUUCAUUGAUUUGAAUAUCUUAUCAUUGAGUUUAACUAUGUUUCUUUGAGUUGAGUUGAGUGAGUUGAGAAGAGGUAAGUAUAUAUAUUUCUAUUCCACCAGUUCAAGCUUAUGUUAUGCUUUAGAAUUCCCCUUACAUGCUCGUAAGUAUUUUAUUCUUGAGUUGAGUUGAGUUGAGUUGAUUAAGUUUGUAAAGAGGUAAGUAUGUUUCCUUUUUAUCAAGUUCGAGCUUAUGUUAUGCUUUAAAAUUCCCCUUACAUGCUUGUACAUUCCACGUACUGAGAUAUAGGUAUUCAAGGUCAUCAACAUGAGCUUAGUUGAUACCACAUGGAAUUCGAGUUAGCUAUAGUGAACCUCCUUGGUUUCGGAGGAUUCCAUUUACUUUCAGUUUUUUCAGGAGGUCGUGGGUCUUGUCCCGACUUUCAUCUUUGUCAUUUAGAGGCUUCAUAGAUACACAGUAGAGUUUCAGAAGUCUGUUCAUUUAUCUUAUUAAAUGUUUUAAAGACUUAAGUUGCCCAUUUUGGGGGUGAGUUGAAUAUAUUAUAUUAUUCAGAGUUUUUCUUUUGAGUUAAAGCUUGUAUUUAAUUUUUCAUAAAUUUUGUUCUGUUUUAAGCUUUGUAUGCUUAAGUUAGUCUUUCGCUUGUAGUCAGCAGGAUGAGGGUUCGCUUGGGGACCAGCAAUGGUUCUCGAGUGCUGGCCACGUCCAGUGUGUAAGCUUGGGUCGUGACACUAAGCUUCUAGCAGUCCAAAGUCGAUAGAAAAAGUAUGCAGACAUUAAGGUAAGGGACAUGACAUUUCAUACUGGUGAGCAAGUCCUUCUAAAAGUGUCACCCAUGAAAGAGGUGAUGCGAUUCGGCAAGAAGGGAAAGCUUAGUCCUCGAUAUGUUGGACCAUUUGAGAUCCUUGACUUUGUAGGGCCAGUGGCUUAUAUAUUGACCUCACCCUUAGCUUACCUGGAGUUCAUCUAGUGUUUCAUGGACUCUAAAGAAGUAUCAUGGGGACGAAGAUUACAUCACUAAGUGGGACUCAAUUUUGUUAAAAAAAGACCUUCAGUAUGAGGAAGAACCGAUUGCAAUUCUUGAUCGUGAUGUCCUGAAGCUGAAGACCAAGGAUAUAAAGUACGUGUAAGUUCAAUGGAUGCAUCGUCUGGUUGAGAAAGCUACUCGGGAAACCGAUAAGGACAUGCAAUACAUGUAUCCCCAUUUAUUCGACGAUUCAGGUACCACUCUACGUUCACCUUAGCCCUUUUCUCCUAGUUUGUCACUCGGGGACGAGUGAUGGGUAAAUUGGUAUCUAUUGUAACGACAUGUUACCGUCGUUAUGGAAAAGCCAAUGGGGAAAGAAUUUGGGCCAGAAAUUUUUUGAGUAGUGACUUGGAAAAUUGUAGCAUAGUUCAGGUUUAGACGAAAUUUGAGUCAGGUGAGGUCUAGGGAAAUCUGAUAAGAAAUGGGGGAUUUAACUAUGAAUUUGAUCACAUGAGUGGAUAGCUAAGACGUUAAUGAGCCUGUACUUUUUUAUAGAAUCCAAUUCAGGCGAGUAGAACUCCUGAAACUGAUCUUGACAAGAAAGGGUAGUUUCUGAACGUCAAGGGUUGAAGGUGUGUUGCGAAAUGGGAGCUUGGAACUCAAAUUCUGACUUUAUGUCUCUGUGCAAGCCACCAGAGCAGGGCAGCUGUAGCAAAUUGGGUCUCACUAUAGCGGGACAGUCGCGACUUAAAUUAGGGAAAACCCCCAAAAACAUUAGUUUUCUGCAAACCUUCGUUCUUAAAAGCUAAAGAAAGACCCAAGGUGAUUUCUUGAUAGUUUUCCACGACUUUUGAUGCUAAAGGUAAGGAUUUUCUUCCCUAAUUCAUUUUUCGAUUCGUAGAACUUAGAUUCUUGGGUAAUUAUCAUUAGGGGAGGGUUUUGGCUUGAAGUUGAUGAUGGGAAAAAUCCUAGUUGAACAUUAUGAUCUGGGUUUGGUCUUGGGUUAUUAAGAUUGUUAUAAUCCGGGUAAAUUAGACCUUGUUUAUUGAUCCUGACAUUAAAUUACUUGUUUAUAGACCAAGAACAAGCGGAAAGAAUUUGGAAAAGGAAUUAAGAAUUGAGUGUCUUAUGAGGAUUCAAGCUUGGUUUCGAGGAAGGUGAUGGUUUGAUUUCCUGUGGUGUGAUGUAUGCCGGAUAAUUGUUUCAUUGUAUGCGUGCAUGUAUGUGAAUAGGGAAUGCGAAUCAAUCUAAUGAAAUAAUGAUGUGUGUCUCUAUACAUGCCAUGAACAGGUUACUUGAUUGUAUUAUAAUGAGUAUUGUUCAUUACGAAUGUGAUUGUUACUGUGGUUGUGCUGACUGGAUUGGGUGUCACGUUCCAACGCAUAUAUUGGAUCGGGUGUCACGUUCCGACACAUAUAUUGGAUCGGGUGUCAAGUUUAGACACACUAACAGUUUGGGUGUGGGUUCCGUGAGAGGACCACUUGUGAUCAUUAUGUUCUUGUUUACCUGACAUUGAUAUUGGGGAAUUGUAUGUUGUUCCUAAAAUGAUUAUUGAUCUAUGUAUUAUGUAUAUGUGUGCUUACUGUGUUGUAAUUGUUCGGUGUAUAUAUUGUGCUUAUGGGAUUAGUCGCGUGAUCCAAUCAGUACACUGUGAUUGUGUACUGAUAUUGCACUUGCUCUUUCUUUAUUGAGUAUAGGGCAUCUUCAGGCGGCUACUGAAAUUGUAUUAACAAAUAGUUUGAUGCAUUAAAAAUUAGACUCAUAGACCUUCAAUUUGAUAGUUUAUGGCCCCCAUAAAUCUUUAUAUAUUGGGAGAAAAUCACCGAGACACAUGACCCAAAUUUCAGAGAAAAUUUUAAAAGAAACCUAGGAUAACUUUCGCCAACUUCUAUUUCACAACUCGCUUAACUUUAAAACAUGAGGUAUAUCCCUUGAACACUUAAAAUAUGACAUACCAAAUCAUUAUUAAUUUAUUAAUCAUUCCUGCCUUGAAGGUGUGGAUUAAUUUAAACAUUUUGAAAGUGUGGAUGUUAUAAUAAUGCAAUGAUCCGGUCUUUCAUUUUUGGAAAUUUUCAUAAAAUUAUCAUUUUUCCCCUCGUUAUUUUGACUCCAAGUCAUUUCUGAUUGAGUUUUGAAAGUUGGUUUUAAACAUUGAGUAUAACGUUGAGAAUUUGGUAAGUUUUUUUUUUUAUAGAACUUGGAUUUUCAUUCAUAACCAAAAAAGGAACAGUACAAAGCAACACAAUUAUGGGAUUAAUUGCGUCUUUUCUAACCCUCUUUCCUCCUACUCAUACAACAAUCAAUUCAUAAGACUAAACUAUUACAAUGCAAAACACCUACUCUAAGGAUAAUUAUUUAGAGCAUGUAGUACAUGUUUCCAUUUCGCCUUGUGUUGACCUCUUAAAUGAAUAUGCAUUACAAUUUUUCUGAGGAUCUUCUCCACACAUAAUCUCCCUCACUGGAAUCUGAUCAUGUUCCUUUCUCUCCAAAUGAUGUAGACAAUCAUCACAUAAACACAAGUCUUGAUCUCAGCAGCUCCUGCAUUCUUUUUAGAAACAUCACUGAUCGAAGCUAUCUCUAUUUUCCAAUCUUGAAUACUUCUUUGGAUCCCGAACCAGUUACACAGUUAUCUCCAUAAUGUCCUUGUCACCUAGCAUUCAAAGUAAAGAUGUUCAAAUGUUUCCUUUGUAUUGCCACAGAACACACAAUCUGGUGGCACUUGGAUUCCAAACUUUUCAAGUCUUUCAACAGUUGCUAAUAUUUUCUGCACAGCUAGCCACAUAAUGAAUUUGAAUAUGGGAUGUACUCCUUGCUACAAGGUAAUACUUUUCCAUUCUACUCUUGGAAAAGUAGGCAUGAUAUAGGUAUACAUCUUAGUAGAAAACUUCCCUCCUUUUUGUGCCUUUACAAACUCCUUCUUCAAAUCACCCUGCCCAGCUUGCGUUUGGAUUAGCAUAUCUCUUGUACCCAGAAUUUACCUCACAACCCAUGAAGCAGCAGUAGGUAUAGUGAUAGUUUCGAUCCCCCGGUUCUUUAUAAAAUAAUUAUGCAUCCAUUGAGUCCAUAGGCAGUCUUUCUUCCUAGCUAUAUUCCACAGUUGUUUGAGUAUUGCAGCCUUAUUCCACAACUUAAGAUCAAUUAUAUUCAAUCCACUUGCAGCUUGUGGUUUGCACACUGUUUCUCAUGAUACUAAAGCUUUCUUGGAGAUAGUUAUAGCCCCUGUCCAUAAGAAGAUCCUACAAAUUUGCUCUAUAGUCUUUUUUUCCCUUAUUAGGAAUAACAAAAACCUGUGCCCAAUAGGCUUGGACCCCAAAAAUGACUGACUUUAUCAAUUGGACUCUUCCAGCAUAGGUUAACAGUUUUGCUGACCAGAAGGUCACUUUGGCAGUAAUUUUCUCAAUUAAUGGCAUAAACUAGUUGACACUAAGUUUCUUUGAUGCUAAAGGAACCCCCAAGUAUCUGAAAGGCAUAGUGCCCUUGGUAUAGCCAAGUUCUUUCAGUAAUUCCUGUUGAUAUGAUCAGCAACUCCAGCUAUAUACAAGGAAUUUUUUUCUGCAUUUGCCUGUAUUCUUGAAGCUCUAGAUAAUUUCAUAAAAGCUUCAUUCAAAAGCCUAAUAGAAAUUAGGUCAGCCCUGCAAUACAUUAAUAGAUCAUCCGCAAAGCAAACAUGUACACUUUCCAGUCUUCUGCAUCUUCGAUGGUAAUUAAAGUUCCCAUUCUUUGUGAGUUGGUAUAGGUUUAUUCCCAGAUACUCCAUGGAUAAUACAAAUAGAUAGGGGGACAUAGGGUCUCCUUGUCUUAAUCCCCUCUUAGCUUGAAAAGGUUUAGUCAAUCCACCAUUCAAUAGCAAAGAGUAAGAUAUUGUUGUCACACAAGUCAUAGUCGAUGAAAUGAAUUUAGCAGGGAACCCCAACUCAAUCAUCAAUUACUUCAAGAAACUCCAUUCUAGCGAGUCAUAAGCUUUCCUUAUAUUUACUUUAAGAACACAUCUUGGGGAAAUACAUUUCCUUCCAUAACUUCUGAAUAUUUCAUAGCUAAAUAGCACAUUAUCCAAAAUACUUCUCCCUUCAAUAAAUGCAGAUUGAGCCCUCCCAACCAACCCUGCUAUCACAUUCUUUAAUCUUCCUGUAAGGACCUUUGAGAUGAUUUUGUACAAAGUAGUGCAACAUGCAAUGGGUCUAUAAUCCUUAACCUUUGUAGGGGAAGGAACUUUAGGAAUUAGUGUUAUAUCUGUUGUAUUUAUAGCAGGCAUAAGAUCACCAGUAAUAAAGAAUUGUUGAACAGCUUCCAAUACCUCUCCUUUGACUAUAUCCCAAUUCCCUUUGAAGAACUCAAUAGGAAAACCAUCCACACCAGGAGCCUUUUGUUUUGGCAUAGUCUUGAUAGCUUCAAUAAUUUCCUCUUUAGUCACCUCUUUGAUCAGAUCCUUCUGUUGUUGUAGAGUCAAACAUACUCUUGUCUUUACCACCUCAGCAUUUAAACAAGGUAAGUUACUAUUUAUAGCACCCAUUAGUCCAGUAAAAACCCCAAUAAAUUCAUCUUCAAUUGCUCUAGGAUCUGUAAGCUUGGUAUUAUUAUCAAUGUAAACAACAGUAAUGGCAUUUUUGCUACAUCUAAUCUUCCAUUGAGCAUGGAAAUAUCUAAAAUUUUGAUUUUUGGAAGGCUAAAGUUGCUUAAAGUGGGUUUUUGGUGUCUUUUAAAGUUUCGAGUGUUGGAAUGGAAUUCUACCAAUUCCAUCUGUUUAGAAAUGUGGAAAUUGGUCUAUGAGAGUUUUUGAUUUCAAAUUCGGAGUCAUUUUAAGGAUAUGCGGUUCUAAGUUGGAAAUUUGUGAAAUUUUAGUCUUUCGGUUGACUUUGAUCAAUGUUUGAGGAUGUUCAAAUCGGAAUUCCAAAAGUUUCAUUCGAUCCGCGGAUGAAGGUGUUAGUGAGAAGAGAUCCCAAGCUUGUUUUGGCCUUUUUAAGCAUUAUGCUAGUUUCUUAUGAAUUUCAUAGAUGUCGGGUCACGGUGACCACAAAUUCCUGUUUUAAUGAUUCCAUUGAGUUUGGAACAUCGAGUUUAGUCUAUUUGCAUAUAUGGUUUAUAUGUAUCGUAUUUCGAACGAAUCCCGAGGAUCCUUUUGAUGAUUUUUGUGUUGGCUGAUUUUGUUGAGGUUUGAUAUUUGCUACCACUCACGAUCGCGAUAGGGUGUUCACUUUCGCGAACCUCACAAUUGUGAGAACCUGAUCGUGUAAGAGAGAGAGGUGGAAGUCCAGACCUUUGCGAUCGCAAAGUGCCUAUUCGCUAUUGCGACCAUGGCGAAAGUGAAGGCCAAGUUUUUUCCUAUGACAUCUUUGAGUGUUUUUAUAUGAAAUUUUGGAGUUUAACUGCCAUUUUUUAUUUUUGAGUUUUCAAAAAUCCUUAGAGGCGAUUUUGAAGAGAUUUCUUCUGCUAAAUCAUUUGGGUAAGCUUUUGUGACCCUAAAAUUUCAUUUUCCUUUGAUCAUCUAUCGAUUUUAACGACAAAACUUGAGAUUUUGAUUGGCAAAUUACAAGGUUUUUCAAGAACUUGAGUUCUAAACUAAAAUAUUGAUUUGAACUGAUUUUAAUUUUGUUUUUGAGAUGAAGUCCACCAAUGAGUUCCAAAUGCAUUGGGUUACAUUUUCAAGUAAAGAUUUUCGAAUGCGAACUUCAUUUUUGGAGUUGGAUUUUUGUGGAUUGCCUUGUUGUGGACCCUAUUUUGUUGAUUGAUGAAAUUCUUUGAUGGCAUUUAUGUGGACUUGAAUUGCUUGAAUUGUUGUCUCUACCUUAUGGUGUGAAAUUGCUUAUAUGCAUUAAUUGUUGUACAUCGUGAUGAGACAUGUGAUGUUGUGACGAAGGGAAAUGACUCAGGCUAGUGAUGUAAUAUAAAGUCGAAGGGAAAUGGUUUCAGUAAGAGCUAUGAUAUAAAUUCUAAGGGAAAUAGUUCCAGCUAGUGACAUUGUGUCGAAUGAAAAUUGUUCCAGCAAGAGUUGAUUAUAUAUUGACAUUUCGAUGCAAUUGAUACUUGUGAUUCAUUUAUUUGUUCCUUGUGAUUGGCAUAGUUGAUGUGUUUAGGUUGUUGAACUGUGACUAUUGAACUAUGUGAUUAAGCCUUGUAAACUAUGAAUUGUGAAACUGUUAGGUUUGACUAAUUUCUAUCCAGGUUAUAGUUUGAGAAGGUCCGGUUGGGAUGAAAGGAGUAAUUUUUUCUAGCUUAUUUUGCCUUGUUUAUUUGGUUACUUGUUGAUUACCAUGUUGAUUGGUGCUCACUCCUUGAUUGUACACUUUUGUAGGUUCCGAGUCUAGUGUCGUGUGAUUGCUCUUCUCCUUCUCCUAUUUUUGAGGCUUGUCAAAGGACUUUGAAAGGUAGUUGCUUGUCAUUCUAGCGGGCCCUCUUGUUCCAUACUUUAUGCUUUGUUCUACUUGAGCAACAGAGAUAAUGAGAGUUGUAAUAUUCUUUCAUUUCGAACAUUAUGGAUUAGUGGCUUGUACACGUGACAUCUAGGUUUUGGGGUUAUAAUAGAAUGAAUAUGUUUCCCGCUUUUAUCUUGUUCUUGUUUCAUUUUCUUCAUCUCAUUCAUUUCGGUGGGUUGAGGCUGUAGACAAGUGUCUUCACUUCCAUAUUUGGGUCAUGACAGUAUAAAUUCUUUUUGUGAAUGCUAGAUUGAUUCUUAAGUUGUUUGACCUCUUAAGUUUAAUAGUCAACUUCUCAUGUAAGGCUACCGUCAUAUAAUGACAAAUUUCUUUUACAUAUGAUUUACCUUUACUUUUGUAUUCAUAUAUAAUAGAUGCUCUAUAACUAAUUUGGAUAGAUAAUUCGAUUUAUGGUGUUUACUCAAACUUUAUUCAUUUGUUAUGAUAUUCACAUUUAUCUAGUUAUUGAUGUUAUGCCUUGCGAAAAUAUUAAUUUAAUAACAAAUGAUGGUUUUCUUGGUGGAUAGAUGUACGAUAGUUUGGGCAGGUUAUUAGUUACACAAAUUUGGGUCGACAUAAAAAAAGUUAAAAAAAGAAAAUAGAUAGGGAUGGAGCAUAGACAGGUCGUGAAAGUAGAGGUACACAAUCCAGAAGUUGAUGUGGCUAUUAUUAUGCUUUUCCAGGUAGAUAAGAGGUUUAGGCUUUAAUGCAGUUAUCAUAUGUAUUAUUUCAACUUUUUAUUGACAUACUGUUAUUUUAUUUGAUCUAGGAUCUACUUAUUCUUAUGUAUCUGCCUAUUUUGCUAUGUACCUGCAUAUGAUGCGUGAUUCCUUGAUAGUACCUAUACAUGUUUCUAUUCAUGUAUGUGAUUUAUUAGUAGUGUAUGAUCUAGAGUUGUGACCUUGUUGGGGGUAUGAUACAUGGGUAGACCUUAUCAUUCUUGAUACAGUGGAUUUUGAUGUGAUUUCUAGUGUAAAUUGAUUAUGUUUUUAUCAUACAGUUUUGGAUUGGUAUGUCAAGACUGUUACUUUGGUUAUGUUAGGUGUUCCUCAUUUUGUGUGGAAGGGUACAUUUAACCAUUCAUCUAAGAGGGUGAUAUCAAUUUUAGAGCAAGGAGGAUGGUAGAGAAGGAGUAUUUGGCUUACUUAGCAUACAUUCGGGAUACUAGUAUAGUGGAGUAAGAUAAUUCUUUUAAGUGUAUCAUGAUUUUGUUUAUUUUCGUAGGUACAUUUUCAAGAAUUAAAAGGCUUACAAUAUUGCUUUAAUUUGCAAAUAUAUGUUAAUGGAAGAAUAUUAAAUGAAUAACCAGAAGUACUUACUAUGAAACUAUUGUGAUAAUCUAAUUCAAAAUUCAUAUAGAUUGGAAAGUACAUCUAUGUAGAAAGAAAAAGAAAAAAAGGGGACAACUAAUUAUUAAAAAAAUCAUUUUCUAUUAAAUCAUGAUAUAUUAUUUUUAUUAUGGUUUGAUAAUUAACACAAAAAAUUAGAACAAAAAACGUUAAAUAUUACACAAACAAAUAUUUUAUAACUCAAAAGUCUUGCAUUAGCAAUAAAUAUAGGAAUUUUUUUUAUUAGAAAACAAUUUAGUUUGUUAGGAUUAAUUUUCUUUUGAAAAAUGAAAAUUCAAAAGAGGACGAAAAUUUUCUUGCAGUGUUUAGAUUUUCUAAAUAUAAAUUAACUAAUACAUAUAAAUCGGAGAAUAUCUAUAAUAACAAAAGGACAAUAGUAUCUUUAAUAAGAAAACAACAUCAAUAACUUUCAAGUUUGAUUGUCAAGCUGUCACUUUAAAAAACUUAUCAUACAAGAGAUGUGAAAUCUACAAGUUUGAAGGUGAGCCUUCGGCCUAUAAAUUCUUUACAUGACCUCCAUAAUUUAGAUGAACAAUUCAGUCUUAUCUCCUCAUUCAAGAAAAAUAAGAUAGGUGAAGUUGUCUUCUUUUGGGUAAAAUUUUAUGUUUUUUUUUUACAAAAGAUACUUAUAUUAAUAAUUACUGUAUCAGUACAUGGGAGAGACAGAGUUGUACACCUGCUAGUAGUGUUAUGGUGGGAUACUAGUAUAAUGGAGUAAGAUAAUUCUUUUUAGUAUAUCACGAUAUUAUUUAUUUUCGUAGGUACAUUUUAAAGAAUUAAAAGGCUUGCAAUAUUGCUUUAAUUUGCAAAUAUAUAUUAAUGGGAGAAUAUUAAAUGAAUGGCCAUAAGUGCUUACUAUGAAACUAUUGUGAUAAUCUAAUUCAAAAUUUAUAUAGAUCGAAAAGUACAUCUAUGUAGAAAUAAAAAGAAAAAAGGGUACAAUUAAUUGCUACAAAAAUAUCAUUUUCUAUUAAAUCAUGAUAUAUUAUUUUUAUUAUGGUUUGAUAAUUAACAAAAAAAAUUAGAACAAAAAACGUUAAUAUUACACAAAAAAAUAUUUUGUAACUCAAAAGUCAAGUUCCAUUAAUUAGUUAAUAAUUAAUCGCUUAGACGGAUUGUUUUUACAUAAAUGAUAAGUCGAGAAGCGAUAGAAACUAGAAUAAAUAGUGCAAUAGCAAUAAAUGUAAGAAAUUUUUAUUAAAUUUAUUUUUUAGUUUUUAGUAUUAAUUUUCUUUUGAAAAAUGAAAAUUCAAAAGAGGAAGAAAAUUUCUCACAAUGUUUAGAUUUUCUAAAUAUAAAUUAACUAAUAUGUAUAAAUCGGAGAGUAUCGAUAAUAACAAAAGGACAUCUUUAAUAAGAAAACAACAACAAUAACUUUCAAGUUUGAUUGUCAAGCUGUCACUUUAUCAAACUUAUCAUACAAGAGGACAAUAGUAUCUUUAAUAAGAAAACAACUUCAAUAACUUUCAAGUUUGGUUGUCAAGCUGUCACUAUAAUCAACUUAUCAUACAAGAGAUGUAAAAUCUACAAGUUUGAAGGUGAGCCUUCGGCAUUAAAUUCUUUAUAUCGCAUCCAUUAUUUAGAUGAACAAUUCAAUCUUAUCUCUUUGUUCAAGAAAAAUAAGGUAGGUGAAGAUCCUUUGUGUAAGAUUGGUGAUCGUUCUCAAUAAGAGUGAUGAGGUCCUUGCAUUCUAUAUUGACUUCUAGGGAUAACAAUCCUCCUGUUAAAGCAAUAUGGAGUCCCUACAUGAGAGUUACAGCCUUUUAUAAGAGUUUUAAUAUUUUUUUCCUUUAUGGUUUUGCCUCCCCCGAGGGUGUGGAAAUCAAUGGCUUGAUUAAGUAAUCUUUUAAUGCAUAUGUUAGUUUUGAUGUUUUGAUAAUAAUUUUCGUUUCUUUUUAGCCAUAUGCUCCAUAGGAAAAAUGGAAGCAAUUCUUGCCAGUUGGGGAACUUCUGCUUUGUACGUACCUGCAGGUUCCUUAAGAGUCUUGGUCAAUCUUUUCCUUAGUUAUUUUUAAAUUGAUUUAUGUGUUGUCGGACAUAUAGGUCUUUCCACACUUUUUACCGUACCAUUCUAUAAAAAUAUGGUCUAUGGUCCAUAGUCUCUGUUUUGUUUCACAUAUGGCAUAGCUGAUCGACAUUAAUUCCUAUGGAAUGUGGGUAUUUUCUGGUAGGCAGCCAACCGUGCUGACAUAACCAGAUGAAGUACUUAAUUUUAUUUGGGCAUUUGAGAGACCAAAUUCAAUUAUAAUUAUCUAGGAUGUGUUCUUACAUAUUAACAUUUUUAUAUUGCUUCCCUUUAUAUAUAUUUUUUUCAUAAUGUCGACUCAUCUAGAACCAAUUGAGUAUCCUUUAUGUGGGAGAACUGUUUGCAGCUAUUAAGAAUGCAUGAUUCAUGUUAAAUCUUAUCCAAUCGACGAAAUGGAGGUAGACGUUGUAGAAGGUUUAAAUAACAUAAGUGUGCCAUCACCCUCAUAUCUGUAACGACCUGAUUCUGUCAUUAGUGAAAAACCAAUGGGGAAAGAAUUGGGGCUAGAAAACUUUUUUGUAGUAACUUGGAAUUCCUAGUCUAAUCCAGAUUUGGACGAAAUCUGAGUUAGUGAGGUCUAGGGAAAUCUAGUAAGGAAUGAGAGAUCUAAUUAUUUAUUUGAUUACAUGAGUAGAUAGCUAAGAUGAUAAGGAACCCGUACACCUUUACGAAAUUGAAUUCGGACGACUAGAACUCCUGAAAAUGAUCUUAGCGUGAAGGGGUAACAUUCUGUCUUCGUGUAGGCCGUCAAAGCGGGAUUAGGGAAGCCAGAGCGGCAUUAGGGCCGCCAAAGCGGGAUGGGGCCCAUCGUAGCAGCCCAGACCAGACUUAAUUUCGUUAAUAAACCCCUAAAUGACCUUAUUUGGCUCUUUUUUACUUUUAGAGCUAAGGAACGAACCCCAUGCGAUUUCUACUCGUUUUUCACCAUUCUUGAGGCUAAAGGUAAGCUUUUCACUCUCCGAAUCCAUUUUUUGAUCCGUAGAACGUAAUCGAAUGGGUACAUAUCGAUGGGGGAGGGUUUUGAUCUGGAAUUUAUGGUGGGAAAAGCCCUAAAUUGGGUAUUAGGAUCUUGGGUUGGUCUAGGGUUAUUGGGUUUGUUAUAAUCCAGAUAAUUAGACCUUUGAUUGUUGAUCCCUGCAAAUAAAUUGUUGUUUGUAGACCUAGAACAAGCGGAAAGCAUCCAGAAAGGGAAGAUUUAGGGGAUUGAAGCUUGGAUUCGAGGUAGGUGAUGAUUGUGAUUCUAUGAUGGUGUGAUGUAUGUUUGUUCUUGCUUCAUUAUGAUACAUGUAUGUAUGAGAAUGUUGCAUUAUUGAUCACACUUAUUGUAAAUGAGGAUAAUUGAAUAAUUGUAUGCCUUGAAUCACCUCUUGUUGUAUGUGAGAAUAUACAUUGUGAUUGUGAUUAUGGUUUGUUGAAUGGGCGGAUGUCAUGAUCCGACACACUAACUUGGAUCGGAUUGACACGUUCCAGCAUAAAUAUGGGAUCAGCUGCCACGUUUCGGCAUAACUAACUUGGAUAGGAUUGCCACGUUCCGGCAUAAAUAUGGGAUCGACUGCCACAUUCCAGCAUAACUAACUUGGAUCGGAUUGCCACGUUCUGGCAUAAAUAUGGGAUUAGAUUGCCACGUUCUGGCAUGCUAACGGUUUGGAUUUGGGUUCCAUGAGAGGACCAUUGAAUUGGGUUCCGUGAGAGGACCAUUGAAUUGUGUUGUGUAUCUACUUGUGAUGACUUCGUUCAUAUCUAAGGAUGUUUGAUAUUGGAAGACAGUAUGUUGCUCUAAAUUGAUAUAAUUGUGAUAUGUGAGAAUCGUGAAGUUGUUCAUUGUUUGUAUAUGCUAAUGAUAUUGUAUAUGUUCGAUAUGUUCAUAUGAUUAUAUUGUUGUAUUGACUAAUGUAUGUUACACUUAGUGGGAUAGCCGCGUGAUCCUACCAGUACACUGUGGUUGUGUACUAAUACUGCACUUGCUCUUUCUUUGUUGAGUACAGGGCAUCUUCAGGUGGCUAUUGAUAGACCCCAGCUAGGUGACUAUGAGUGUGACCGGAUUCAAGGGUGGGUCAUUUCUGCCAGGCUGCCAUGGAUCUUCCUUGUUUAAGUCCUCUCUUUUCAGACUCAGACUUUUUGUUUAAGGUGUUGUUUAGUUUCGGGGUUAUACCCAUUGCGUUAGUAGAGUUUUGGUACAUUAACUUUCAGGUUCUAGGCUUUAUUCUUCCGCAAUAGUUGUUAAUUGUUUGUUAAACCUUUGGAGUUUAUGAGAACUUCAUAUUUAGUUUAUUUAAACCUACUUCCAUAGCUUUAAAUGUGUAUUAUUUUGGUUAAGUUGAUUAUUUGGUUCUCCCACCGGAGGGUUAGUGUGGGUGCCUCUCACGACGGUCUGGGUCGUGACAAAGUUGGUAACAAAGCCCUAGGUUCGUACAUCUCAUUGUGCCAAAACGAGUCUAGUAGAGUCUUGCGGAAUUGUACGAUGAUGUUUAUACUUUUCUUCGAAAGGCUAUAGGACAUUAGGAAAAACUCACUUCUUUCUACUCAUUCGUGCUAUGAGUUGAAUCCAAUUAGUAUUUGGGUGAUACAAAUUGUUUUCUUUCUUCCUUCACUCUAUGGUCCGAACUAGAGCAACAAAAGUGGUAACACCAUCACUAGCAAGAGAGGGUGUGUUUAGACUACCGACAGUUGAAUAGGGUCGCCAUUUCGAACAAGUAUCCAUUGCCUUGGAUAAAUGACCUUUUUGACCAAUUGCAAGGUGCAUUGGUUUUAUCUAAGAUUGACUUAAGGUCUGGUUACCAUCAGUUGAAGAUUGAGGUGGUUAAGAAUUGGGUUUGACCAAGUUCUAUGAUUGAAAUUAGAAGUUUUGUGGGGCUCGCUAGCUACUAUUGUCUCUUGUUGUAUGAGUUGAGUCCAAUUGGUAUCCCGAUUCCAAUUGGCAUCUCAACAAAGUGAACUAGAUGUCGUGGUCACAACUGAGGGGCCACAAGUAAAGCAAAUUGGAAAUUGAAAAGGUUCCAAUUAGUAUCUGGCCCUGCGUGUGGUGUGAAAGCAUGGAUGAUCAGGAAUGGUCAUCCAUGGAGCGAAAUAAUUAAUUAAGAAUUGGACUUAUCUGUAAUGUAUCUUAGAAACUUUGAAUGUGUGCUUUUGGUUGUCUGAAUUAACUGCGAAUGUGAAGUUGUAAUUGCUUGAAUAUGAUGAGGUGAUUAUGUGCACAAUAAAUGUAUGCUUGAACUUUGAUAUGUACAAUAUGUUGGCCUGGUCGUUGAAGUUAUGCAAGUUGUAAAUAAUUGAGUAUCGUGAAACUCGUUGUGAAAGGAAGGUAUUGACUAAGGAUCGUGUGAGUGUAUGGGUGUAUCAUGGGGAUGUGUGGGUUGUGGUGUUGAAUUAACAAGAAUGAAUUGGUUCGUGUAUCGUUGCUUUUACUUGGGAUAGCCAUGAUUUCUCUUAGCUCAGAGAAUUAUCCUAAAUUCGUUUGGCAGAGAUGGGAACCAUUGGGAAAAUUAGAAAAGAGAAAAAACCCCCAAAAAACUAGUUAGCCUGGGUUCUGUUUCCGUUUUGGCAGUCGAGGUAAGACUUUUCCCACCAAGGCAAGGCCGUCAGUGCAGAAUUCCUCCCACCAGAACAGGAUAGGGAGAGACAAAAUCUCAACCUUGUCUCCCCUAUUUUUCUAGUCAUAAUUUUGGACCCCUAAUCGUACCUGAACUAAACCCCGCGAUCUAAUUCAGUGUUCGGUAAUCGAAUAUAAGUUAUAAGGUGUGUUAAAAUUAUGGAGGACCUGGGCUUAUGAGGAGGAAAUCAGCGAGGCCGUAGAGGACGAGGAAAUGGUAAUGCAAGUAGAGGAGUAAUGCAGUCAGGCAAGAAGGUUGCCCUUCAAGAUGACAGGGCUCAGUUAUAUGUUUUUCCAGACAAGACCGAGUUUGAGGUGUGUGAUCUAGUGGUCACUAGUGCUACUCUUGUCUGUUCCCGGAUAGCUAUUGCUUUGUUUGAUCCUGGUUCUACUUAUUCGUAUGCGUAAGUCAAUUGCCUUGGGAUUUGAUGUGGUUUUUGAUAUACUUGAUGACCCCAUCCAUGUAUCUACCCCAGUCGAAGAGUCAGUCAUAGUCACCCAUAUGUAUCGUGUUGUCUUGUUGUGGUUAUGGAUUUUCAUAUUUGGGUUGAUUUGGUUAUGCUGGAUAUGACUGACUUGAUAUAAUCUUAGGCAUGACUUGGUUGUCCCCCCCUAUUAUAUUGGGCUUAAUUGUAAUACUGAGUCGGUAACUCUAAAUAUCCCCCGAUAGGGAAAGAUUAGAGUGGGAAGGGGGUACAAGCCUAAGUCAGCUAAGGUCAUAUUUUUCGUAUGGGGUAGGAAACUGGUAGGGUAGGAUUGUUCGGCGUAAUUGACUCAUAAUCGGGAUGUUGAGGUCGAAUCCCCCUCUACUGAGUCUUGUGGUGUUAGAAUUGAGAGAGCUUAAAACUCAAAUCCAAGGGCUUCUUGAUAAAGGUUUCAUUUGUCCUAGUGCUUCCCCAUUGGGUGCUCCUGUCUUGAUUGUUAAGAAGAAGGAGGGUAGUAUGAGGACUGGAGAUUUUAUCUUAAGCCAUAAAAGAGUGAUUUGAUACCGGAAUGACAAGCUUAUGGAUAAGGAAGGUCCUAAUGAGUAUACUUAGGUGAAGGAAAUUGAAGUAUUUUAGUAAGAGGGUGCGUAUAAAUUGGGUAAGUCUUUUGAAUUUGAUAAGUUUACCUAAGUUUGAGGUGUUGUGUUGGUCAAAUGUGGACUUCGUAGUGAUAGUCAAGGCUGACUGAGUGUAAUGGUAAUAAGAGUUCGUGAUGGAUUGUAACGGGAGGCAACUAUAUAAUAAAAUUAUUGGUUAAACAAAUUUUUGUAUAGUAAUUGCGACCUGCGAGUAUCUAAGGUUGUGGCUUUAGAAAUAUUUUAUGAGUAGCGUGGUUGUAUGGAAAGUUUAAAGAGAUGGUGGGACACCAUUGGAAUAGAAAUUAAAGAGCUAGAGUCAUAAUGAAGAAAAAUAAUGGGAUGUAGUACAACAUUUAGAGAGAGGCGAGAUCAAGAAUAUUUUAUUUAAUUGCAAAGGCCGAAGAUAUAUCUUUAGAGGGGUAGAUAAUUGGGUUCAAAUACGCGUGACUUCAUUCGUUUUGUUGUGGCUAUGGUAAUAGUGUCACAAGUCUGUCGGAUUGGUUAGAAACUAUUGGAAAAGACUUGAGAAAUGAGUGUACAGACAUUAUCUCGAGUGUGAUAAUAAGUGCCUUGUUUUGUUUCGAGUUUAGUAAUGAGUACGAUUGAAAUUUUAGCGGAAAAAUAUUGUAAGAUCGAUGAGGAUGCGAUCAAUGAUAAGCGAAGAUUCAGGAUUUCAUAAAAAUCUUUAAGGUAUAAACUAAUGUUGAUAGAUAAGGGGAUUGUAUUAUAUAGUUGAGUUUACCAUUCAGAUUUUUCAUUGUAAGUCUACAUUCGUGGUGUUAUAUUUUGUCAAGGUAUGACUGUGUAAGGUGAGGAAUGAUCACUUGUAUCAAUAUUGAGCAUUUGAAAAGACUUACACUUGGUUUGAGUCGUAAAGUUUAUUACUUUUGAUUGUUAAAGUAUCUUAGAAAGGUUUUCAUUCUAAAAGUGUUCGUUUAGAGUAAGGUAAAUGGUCGGAGUGUUCAUAAUGGUUGUUAGUAUUAAGAGUGUGGACUUCAGUGGAAUGAUAUGAAGAGUAUGUGGAGUCAAGUGAAUGGAAAUGACUGGUAUAGACUCUUUAGAGGAAAACCUUUCAUGUUAUGUGAUAAAUUCUCAUAUGACCAUCUAUUUCAUUUUUGUACAUGGUUGUGAGUGUGAUGCACUAGCUAUGCUUACAUGUGUUUUCAUUUUUGUUGGUAGAUCUCUAGUGGUGGAUCAGAUGUACCGAUCCUGUGAUGUUCUCUUGGUUGAGUGGGAUGAGUUGGGAAGACGUGGUUAUUUCAGAUGACUUAUGUUGUGUUGUCUUGGAGUUGUAAGGUAUUUCAGUGGUUUUACAUGUACCACCUUACUUAUGAGAGUUUAUAGAAGAGCUACCAUGCGUAUUUAUGGUUGUCUGACAAUCUUAAUAUUCAUCUAGUAGUAGAGGUCAUGUAUUGAUUGUGUGUGAUUGAAUGUGGGUAUCAUUGAAUCCAAUUCUACUGUUCUUAAGAGGUAAUCUACAAUUACUAAAUCUAGCAUUUCGAUAGUGUUGUUGGAUGGUUUGUUGGUUUGUAUGAUUGGACAUAUCUCUCAAGGAGUAUUUGAUAUCUAAGGAUUGAAACUUUUGUAACUUAAGCUUAUGGAAAUUUAUGUUGGGGGAUGGAGAUAUUGAUAAGAACUAUGAUUGUUUGGGUAUUAUGAGUGUGUGUUGGUUGGUUUAGGUUUACCUCUAAUUGUGGCGAGUUUUGAUUUUGGAUUUUAUCAUGGUUAUGUGAGAAAGGACUCGUCCUAAUGGUUGUGUCAAAAUCCUUGAUAACAUGUUGCAGACAUGUGUACGAUCAACUUUGGUUGUUAUUGGGAAUAGCUUUGUUGUUAGUUAACUGUACAUACAACAAUAAUUAUCACUCGAGUAUUGUGAUGACUUCAUUGAGUCAUUGUGUGGAUGGAUGUGUAGGUAUUCAAUUGGUUAGUUUGGGGACGAAGAUUACAUCAUGAAGUGAGACUCAAUUGUGUUAGACGAGACCUUCUGCAUAAAGAAGAACCAGAUAAAAUUCUUAAUCUCGAUGUUCGUAAGCUAAGGACAUGCGAGACAAGCAUCCCCUGUUGUUCAGCAAUUCAAGUACUACUCUACCUUUAUUUUAGCCAGUCUUUCCUAGUUGAUCACUCGGGGACGAGUGAUGGAUAAAUUGGUAUCUAUUGUAACGACCUGAUUCUGUCAUUAGGAAAAAGCCAAUGCGGAAACAAUUGGGGUCACAAAACUUUUUGGUAGUAACUUGGAAUUCCUAGCCUAGUCCAGAUUGGACGAAACCUGAGUCAGUGAGGCUUAGGGAAAUCUAGUAAGGAAUGAGAGAUCUAAUUAUGAAUUUGAUUAAAUGAGUGGACAACUAAGACGAUAAGGAACCCAUACGACUUUACGAAAUUGAAUUCGGGAAAGUAGAACUCCCGAAAAUGAUCUUAGCAUGAACUGGUAACAUUCUGUCUCCGUGCAGGCUGCCAAAACGGGAUUAGGGCCGCCAGAGUGGGAUAGGGUCCGCCGUAGCGGCCCAGACGCGACUUAAUGUUGUUAAUAAACCCCUAGACGACCUUAUUUGGCACUUUUCGACUUUUAGAGCUAAGGAAUGAACCCCAGGCGAUUUCUACUCAUUUUUCACCAUUCUUGAGGCUAAAGGUAAGCUUUUCACUCUCCGAAUCCAUUUUUCGAUCCGUAGAACGUAAUCGAAUGGGUACAUAUCGAUGGGGCAGGGUUUUGAUCUAGAAUUUAUGUUGGAAAAAGCCCUAAAUUGGGCAUUAGGAUCUUUGGUUGGUCUAGGGUUAUUGGGUUUGUUAUAAUCCGGAUAAUUAGACCUUUGAUAGUUGAUCCUUGCAUAUAAAUUGUUGCUCGUAGACCUAGAACAAGCGGAAAGAAUCUGGAAAGGGAAGAUUCAAGUGCCUUAGGGGAUUAAAGCUUGGAUUCGAGGUAGGUGAUGGUUGUGAUUCUAUGAUGGUGUGAUGUAUGUUUGUUCUUGUUUUAUUAUGAUACAUGUAUGUAUGAGAAUGUUGCAUUAUUGAUCACACUUGUUGUAAAUGAGGAUAAUUGAAUAAUUGUAUGCCUUGAAUCACCUCUUGUUGUAUGAUUGUGAGAAUAUACAUUGGGAUUAUGAUUGUGGUUUGUUGAAUGGGCGGGUGUCACGAUCCGACACACUAACUUGGAUCGGAUUGCUACAUUUCGGCAUAAAUAUGGGAUCGACUGCCAUGUUCCGGCAUAACUAACUUAGAUCAGAUUUCCACGUUCCGACAUAACUAACUUGGAUCAGAUUUUCACGUUCCGGCAUAAAUAUGGGAUCGGCUGCCACGUUCCGGCAUAACUAACUUGGAUCGGAUUGCCACAUUCUAGCAUAUAUAUGGGAUCGUAUUGCCAUGUUCCGGCAUGCUAACGGUUUGGGUUCCAUGAGAGGACCAUUGAAUUAGGUUCCGUAAGAGGACCAUUAAAUUGUGUUAUGUAUCUACUUGUGAUGAGUUCGUUCAUAUCUAAUGAUGUUUGAUAUUGGAAGACGGUAUAUUGCUCCAAAUUGAUAUAACUGUGAUAGGUGAGAAUCGUGAAGUUGUUCAUUGUUUGUAUAUGUUGAUGAUAUUGUAUAUGUUCGAUAUGUGCAUGUGAUUAUAUUGUUGUAUUGACUAAUGUAUGUUACACUUAAUGGGAUAGCCGCGGUGGUUGUGCACUGAUAUUGCACUUGCUCUUUCUUUGUUGAGUACUGCGCAUCUUCAGGUGGCUAUUGAUAGACCCCAACUAGGUGACUAUGAGCGUGACCGGAUUCAAGGGUGAGCCUGUUCUUUCAGGCUGCCAUGUAUCUUCCUUGUUUAAGUCCACUCUUUUCGGACUCAGACUUUUUGUUUAAGGUGUGGUUUAGUUUCGGGGUUGUACCACUUGUUCUUAGACUUGUCGUUACUAGAUUUUUAGUACAUUGACUUUUAGGUUCUAGGCUUUAUUCUUCUGCAAUAGUUGUUAAUUGUUUGUUAAACCUUUUGAGUUUAUGAGAACUUCAUAUUUAGUUUAUUUAAACCUGCUUCCGUAGCUUUAAAUGUGUAUUACUUUGGUUAAGUUGAUUAUUUGGGCUGUAGUUUUGGUUCUCCCACUGGAGGGUUAGUGUGGGUGCCACUCACGACGGUCUGGGUCGUGACAAUAUCACACUUGCUCAAAUAGAUGUAGCAAUGAAGCCAAAGAUAUGGAUACAAACCAACAACUACUAUCACCAUAACUAUUAUAUCUUCCUCUCUUAAUUAAUAAUAAUAUAAUAGGCCUACAAGUAAAUCGGUGAUAACGCUCGAAUCACUCCUCAAAACUAAUUAAAAGAGUGAGAGGUCGUUGUCAAUAAAAACACUCAACUAUGAGUCGGGUCGAAUCUACAAUGAACAAUGUUACGUCAAUUGAAAAGAUAAAGGCAACCUAGAUACUUGUUUGAACCUAUACAAACAAGGUACACAAAUAUCAAAUAUAAGACAAUUUUUAUAACUAAACUUCUAAUAGGGAUAUAGACAAUAUCAAGCAAGGGAUGUACGGAAAUUGGAAAAACUUGAGAUUCAAUCAACACUCAACGAUUCAUUACAAUUCAAUCCAAGAUCAAUCACUAAUAAAUAGGCUAGGUCAUCUUCAAUUACGCUGAAUAUCUUUCAAUCUAAACAUUUUUUACUGUGAUAUCUCCUUUCGGUCUCAAUCACAUAAAUAAAUAAAAAAUAACCCACUACCUUAACUUAGACCUGUUUCGAAGAAAACUUGCACCAACAAUGAAACCCUAAACUUUCAUCUUUAGAUCUCAAAUUCAAUAUUUCAAGCCCAAAUGCAAUUAUCAAUCUACUUCUCCACUCUAAUCAAUAUCUUUCGAGCAAUAAUCAAACAUCAGAAGCUAGGAUUGAGCAUGCACUCUCAACCCAUAGAUUCAAACAUAAAAACUGAUUGAACCUAUUUCAUAAAAUCAAGCAUUUUAACAAGGAACUAAAAAAGCAAUAGACCAAUUAAUUAAACACCCAAAUAGCUUUGUCUAUUUCUAGCACAAAAUUCCCAAUUUCAUACAAAUCAUCACAGCCACAUUUCUAGCAAUUAAGAACAAGGAAAUGAUAAGAGAUUAAAAUAUAUUACUAAAAUAGAAUACAAUCUUCAAAUCCACAACUGAAAUGUGAGGUAGCUCGCCUCCAAUGUCUUAACCUUAUAAAUCUUUAUAUAUUGGGAGAAAAUCACCGAGACAUAUGACUCAAAGUUCAGAGAAAACUUCAAAAUAAACUUACGAUAACUUUCGCCAACUUUUAUUUCACAACUCGCUUAACUUUAAAACAUGAGAUAUGUCUCUUGAACACUUAAAAUAUGACAUACCAAAUCAUUAUUAAUUUAUUAAUUACUCCUGCCAUGAAGGUGCGGGUUAAUUUAGAGUACGUUUGGCCAUGUGAUAUAAAAUCAUGAUAUGGUAUCAUAAUAUGGUAUCAUAAUAUGAAAUCAUUAAAUGAAAUUGAAGUUUUAUUUCAACAUGCGAUAUGAAGUUUUUGUGUUGUAUAUUUUCUCAUAAACAUAAGUAUCACGCCCCGAGCCUACACCCUCGAACAUGGCCGCCACUCGAGAACCAUUACUGGCCCUAGGCAAACCCUUGGCCCUGCUUAACUCUUAGCAGAAGAUUUACUCAUAAUAAAAAGCACUUUAAAAAGUAAACUAUAACUCAAAUGUCUCAAAAGAUAAACUCCAAAAUGUUUAAAGAAACAUUCAACUGGCCAAAAGAGGCAGCUCAAGUCUCAACAUGAAAAACUGAAAAUGAAAAGACUCAUAAACUAGUGUCUAUCUAUCUAUGAAGCCUCUAAUACUAUCAGGGAUGUCAGGACAAGACCCCCAAUCAUCCUAACAACUAAAAUAACUAAAAAUAAAGAAGGGAUCCUCUGGAAGCAAGAAGGCUCACUAAUACUCUAGAACUCAACUGGAUCAACGAAACGCUGGAUGCAGAUCCUGGUUACAUGUAACUGCAUCAUAAAAGAUGCAGGACAAAUGAUUUCAGUACAUGGAAUGUACGAGCAUGUGAGGGGAAAUCUAAAACAUGACUGAAGAAACACUUACCUCGUCUCAACUCAUUUCAAUAUAAAACAUUGAUAAAGAUGCAAUAUAGAGAAAAGUUUUUAAAACAGUAAAUUGUAUUGAAAAAAAUACAAUAAUACUCUGUUUGUAUGCAAAAAUAUAAACUAACUCUGUUUUGGAGAUUCUCUAAUCCACAACCAUCACUAUGAGUUAUGUGAUGAUACAACGUCUAGCCCACGUUGCCAAAACUGUCAUAUACUUUGCAUGGGUAUAAAACUCCUUAACUAAUUGGAUCAUCUAGUCUAUGCUAAAAAACAAUAAAGGAAUCAUCUAAAAAGUAUGACCAUUUUCUACCCACGUUGUCUACAUGGUUUAUGGGGGAUGUGAGUUGUUAUAACUCUCCCCCAUAUCGGUGCUCAAUACUACUCCCAAAAUAUAACUUAACUCAUUAUGUUUUAAGAAAAACAUUUCAUCUUCCUCAACUUUGAGAUUCUUACUCAAAAGGUUUCUCUAAAAAGAUAUAAUACGGAAAUUGUUCAUGAACUCUUUGGAAAUCUGUGUUUCCACUUUUCAUAAAUGUAAAAACAUUUCUCUUGGGAAUACUUAGUUCCCAUAUAUCAUUUUUAAAACAAAUGAACUCAACUCUUUCUCUUCCUUAACUCAAUGCUCAAGUCUUAAAACAAGUUUAAAAUAAUUUGUAAAAAGACUUCUUAAAAUUACUCGAAGAACUCUCAAGACGUGACUCUUAGCUAUACCUUGAAUUUGAAUUAUGAAUUCAAGGUUAUGAUUCAUGUUGUAAAUGAUUUCUAGAUGUUUAGAAGUAGUUUAGAGUAGUUAGAAUCGAUAGAAAGUAAAGGUAUACUUUAAGAGAACUUAGAUGGGUAAAACGACGGAAAAAAGGGUGGGGGCAGGCGACCCUGGCGCAGGGCGCCAGCCCCUAAAGUUCAGAGAUUCCAAAAUGGCACACUUCUGGUGCGCCUGCCAGACCUGCUGGCACAUCUGGGGCGCUCUGCAUCACCCCUCCCCCAGAUCAUCCUGACGAAUUUUUCUUCUCGUUUUCUAAUCCUAAUUCGUCUAGAUCGAUUCUUUAUCUCAAUUUCUCCUUAGAUUCAAUUACCCAAUACAAGUACAUGAGAAUCUACUUAAAAACAACUCUUAAACUCAAUACGAUUAUCUCAAGAACUCAUCAAACCCAUCCUAAUUCAAGAACGAAAGCAAACUUCAAGAACACUAAUCAAGAAAUCUAAUCCUUCAACUUUCAAGAACGAAAUUACUCUGAAAAUAACAUGAUUGGCGUGUGGGUGAACGAACCCAACACUAUGAGAACUCACAUACCUCUUAGGGAUUAAACCCUUGGCGAAACAACCUUCGAUUCACAAGAAAACUUGAAGAACGCCUUGAAUUUUCUCCUCUUCUUGAACUUCUCUCAAACCGUAGCGUAAAUUAGGAUUUGUAAAACUGAACAAAAUCAGUUUAAACCCCUAAUUAUUUACUAAAAAUGUUGUAAGCUGAUUGGGUAAGGAAAAGACCAAAAUACCCCUCAUAUUUUUGGGUAACUUACCUUAAAUGGACAACCUGACUUCAAACAGGAAUAUCUCCCUCAUAGGAGCUCAAAAAUUAGCAAACUCAGUGGCGUUGGAAAGAGGAUUUCAAGACCUUUAAUUUGAUAACUUAUGGGCCACGUAACUCAUCAUGUACUGAAAGUUAUGGUCAUUUGAAGUUGACCCAAAACUCAUAACCUACGCCUAACUUGCAAAAUUUUAGAUUUUGCUAUUUCCAAUUUAGUUCCUUCUAUUUUUAGCUCUUUCAAAUACCGAGGUGUUACAAUAAGAAUCUCAUAAGUUGUAAAACUAUUUAAAAUAUCCCCCAAUUGUUUAUUUAAUCUUACCAAAUAAACAGAAAUUUAUAAAAUAGCAUAAUAAAUUAUUACAAAGCUAUUUGUUCUCCACUUAAGUAUUGUUUCAUCUAACUUUAAUUCAAUAAAAAAAAUUGAACAUAAAUUGUAGUGUACUAGUCUUUAAUAUAAUCUUCCUACAUAGUACGGAUAAUCUCCUCGCGUUGAACUUGCAUUUCUCAAUUAUGUGACCGAGAAGACGAACCAACAUUGUUACUUUGAGCCAUUUGUUAGUGAAUAUCAUCCGCAACUAUAUUUGCAUUCUCAUAGACCAUAAAUAUUUCAUCAGUGCUUUGGUAUUCUCACAAAUAAUUAUGUAAUAAUGCACAAGCUAUGACUAUUUUCACUUCUAUAUCAAUAUCAUAAUGGUUCAUGUCUUGUUUUAGUAUUCUGAAUCUAUUUUUCCAAUCUCCAAAAGUUCGUUCAACCACAUUGCGUAGAGAUAAAUGCCUAUAAUUAAACAAUUCUUUGGAAUUUUGAGGGUCUCUUUCACUUCCUCUGUAAUCUUGUAAAUGAUAGUGUAACCCUUUGUAUGGAGCUGAAAAUUCUUUUGUAUUUCGAAAACCAAUAUCAACAACAUAAUAUUUAUCGACCGACAAACAUUUUAUAAAGAAUUUCUAGAAGCAUAUGUGACAUAAAUGAGACAGCUUUGUGUAAAUAAAUAAUAUUUAGUCUAAGGAUGUAAUUUAAAGUUACCAUGUGACGGAAAUAAAAAUUGUGACAUUGGUUCAACAAGUGCAUUCUCAAGUACUUUACUGUCAUGUGCAAUACCUUCCCAACCAAAAGCAACAAAGAUAAAUCGCAUAUCAAAAUCACAAGCACACAAGACAUUUUAUGAUGUCCUUCCUUUGCGAUUACGAUAUGCUUGUUGUACCGCUUUAGGAACCUCUCAUUUUAUAUAUGUUCCAUCAAUUGCACUAACACCAUCCUGCCAAAUAAAAAACACAUCAAUAUUAGUUUAAUGUACAUAAAAUAAAUUGGAAGCAUUAUAGAAUGCACUUCAUAAAAUAAUAUUUGUAAGAAUAAUAAAAUAGUGCUUCCAAGACAAUGCAAAGUCAUAAAAUAAAUAUUAUCUCUUUAAACAUAGUCGAUAGUGAGUAUGUAACUAAAUACUAAUAACUUACACAUAAAAUAUAAAUGUGCACUUAUUAGGCCAUAAAAUAAAUUUAUUAAUGUGUUUGAAAUUUUACCUUAAACCAAGGCUAAAAUCGAGUAUUAUUUUGGAAUGUACACUUGUCAUGCUUUUUGGUUGUAUAAAUGUUGGUGCCAUCUUGCUAAUUGCCUCAACAACUAUUUUAACAUGCCGGUUAAUUAUUUCAAGUGCAUUUUGAAAAGUUUCACUUGUUGAGCGUUGACUAUCAUUUCAUGCAAUGAUGGUUAGAAAAAUACCCAAAGCCUCCUCAAUUUGAACCCGCGUGGUCCGAUGCUCAAUUGGCAACACGUUAUUUUGUUUUAUCAAACUAACAAGCUGACAAAAUGUUUUAGGAUAAAACCGCAUAGAUUCUUAUAUAUGCAUGCGAUGUCCACAAAGAAGUUCAUUGAUCCAUACCAUACUAGGCCUAGAUGUAUGUUGUUGUGUUCGACAUAACAACCUAUGUUCUCGUUUGACUUGUUUGAUAUGUUCAACUGUUGCAACGUAGAAAAUAACAUCAUCAAUGUCGCUAUCAGACUCACUAGCACUACUUUAUAUGCUCAUAUAUUUCAACUACUCGUACAAAUAACCCAUAAAGUAGAAAAAGAACAUACAUUAGUGAGAAAAUAUUAACUUAGAAGUUAAAUACACUAAGAUAAAAAUUAACAAACAUCACUGACUUCUAACUAUUUAAAAGAAAAAUCAAUAGUUAAAUAUUUUAGAAUAAUGAAAUUUUAAAAAGUUACCAUUUUUUAACUACUGAUCCGAACCAUUGGCUCCCACAAGUUUGAGUCAAACCACUUUUAAUGAAAUUUAAUCAAAAAAAUUUAAAACUAGUCCACUUGACUAAUAUUAAUAAUUAAUUGAUCAAGUUUUUCCCAAGUCCUCUAUCCAUUGGACUUAAUAUUCUUCAGUCAUGUGCACGAACAUUUUGUGAAUACUAAAAUUAAGAAAGUGCAGCACCGCUAAUGAAAAUUAUCUUUUAUCAAUAUUAUGCUUAGUCAUGAGAUUUUGUAGUUGAAUAAUCACAACUUGCUCAGAGUAGAUAUCAAUCUCAUAUGUGUUGACGAUUGUGCUUGUUCCCGUUCUCGUUUCUCUUUUUCGUUUGCUCCCUCUUUAUUUCUCUUCCACUUCAAGUGUUCCUUCACAUAUCAUUGAAUAUGCCUUCGAUUGUUGUAGGUCUUUUUUUUUUUACGGCGAGAAGAUGUGAUACCAUCAGUUGAAAUAGAUACAUCACACGUAGUCCACUUUCCACUACCAUUGUCGUUGUCGAUAUUCACACUCAUAGGUUGAUAUACAUUUUCAGUAUUAACAAGAUUGUCGUCACAAUAAAAUAUGUCAUCCUCCACUUCAGUAGGUUCAUCUAUUGUUGGUUGUGAAACAGGCAUUGUACUGUAGAUAACAUGGUUACUUAAGGCAAUUGAUUUUCCAAAAAUCUCAUCCAAUAAUUCAUAGUGAUUAAGUUCUUUAAGUUUGAAUUUGGAAAUAUUAACACCUUUAUUUAUUUUUUCCUAUAAAAGAUAUAAAGUAAAAUGUCACAUUUUAUGUAAGGUCACAUAGUGAAAAGGAAAAUACAUGAUACUAAUCAGACAAGAUUACUGCCACAUGUUGUCUCCAAAUAUCAGAAGGGCAAGUGAGUGUGUUUGUUUCAGGAUCCCAACCAUAUCCGGAACAAGACUAAAGUAAGUCCUUGAAAUCCUUUAUACCUUUCUUUAAUCCUCUACAUUUCGUCUUAAUGUGAUUUUCAUCAUAAUAGUUUUGCUUGCCAGUUUUAGAUCGAUGAUUACCCUCCAAUGUGGAUAGUUGAUUGUAGAACCAUUAAACGCAUAUUUUCUUGCAUCGUCAUGUAAGACCUCUAUGAGGGCUGAUAUGUCCUCUUCUGACCAUUUUUCAACAUUUGAAUCACAGGGUUUACUCAUUCUUUUACAUUUCUACAGUAUAAUAAUAAUAUGAUAAAAAAAAAUUGUAUUUGCUAUGCUCACUUUGAUUUACAUAAAAUUGAAAAAACUUGUUUCACAUGAACACCAAAAUAUUAAUUAAAAUUUUAGAUUAUCCUUACCCUGUUAAGCGGUGGAGGCGCAAUCACUGAAUUUUCUUUAGAAAUUCCAAAGUCAUCUUGACAAGUUAUGUGCAUUGUAUUCUAAUUUCAAAAAUAUAUAUAUAUAUAACAAAGUAACUAGAAAUAAAUGAGAACAUAGGAAAUUCAUAUCUAUACUUAAUUCCUAAAUCUAGUUAACCUAUUAGAAAGAAACUAUAAAUCUAGUCAUAGAAAUUAAAAAUUGAAAGAGUAGAGAAUAUUUAACUCACCUUAAAAAUGAUAGAAGACUUAUUGGUCAAUUUGAUCUGCUUUGUUGUUCAAAUAGAUAUAACUAUAAGUUGUAAUAAAUUACAAAAUGGUAGAAGUAAUAAAUAAGGUGUUGGAGUAAAUGAAGAGAACAAAUUUAUUACUCAACAAUCGGUUGGUGUGAGUUAAAGUGACUAUAUGUUGGUGAGAUUAAUAAAUGUUAUGUCAGUGAGAAUAAUAAAUUUUAAAAAGUAAUGGUGUGAUUGUAAAUUUUAUUUACAUAUGAAAUAAAUGGAUAGUAGAUAUAAAUUUGGGGUUGUUUUAACAAAAUAUAAACUUGUGGAUGAAUUUUUGUAUUUAAAAUAUCUCAAAUCAUGAUAUGAAAUUCCCAUAUCAUGAUUUUUGGAAAAUAUGGAAUCCCAUCUCAUGAUAUCAAAUCAUGAGAUGGAAUCAGCGUGGAAUCGAAUGUCCAAAUGUUGAUUCCAUCUCACGACUCCAUAUCGUGAUAUGAUAUAGCUUGGCCAAACGCAUACUUAGACAUUUUGAAAGUGAGGGUGUUAUAAUAAUGUAAUGACCCGGUCUUUCAUUUUUGGAAAUUUUAAAAAAAUUACCAUUUUACCCCUCCUUAUUCGACCCUGAGUUAUUUUUUAUUGAGUUUUGAAAGUUGGUUUUAAACUUUGAGCAAAACGUUGAGAAUUUGGUAAGUUUUUAUUUUUUGAAAGGCUAAAGUUGGUUAAAAGUGUUUUUUGGUGUCUUUUGAAGUUUCGUGUGUCAGAAUGAAAUUCUAUCGAUUCUGUCAGUUUUGGAAUGUGGAAAUUGGUCUAUGGAGUUUUUUAUUUCAAAUUCAAAGUCGUUUUGAGGAUGUGAGGUUCUAAGUUUGAAAUUUGUAAAAUUUUAAUCUUUCGGUUGACUUUAGUCAACAUUUGGGGUUUGGACGCUCGGAUCGGAAUUUCAAAAGUUAUGUUGGAUCCGGGGAUAAAGGUCUUGGCAAGGUCUUAGUUUAAUUUCAGAGGUCCCAAGCUUGAUUUGGCCUUUUUAAGUGUUAUGUUUGUUUCUUGUGAAUUUCACAGAUGUCGAAUCAAGGAGACUACAGAUUCAUGUUUCAAUGAUUACAUUAAGUUCGAAACAUCAAGUUUAGUCUAUUUGCAUAUAUGGUUUAUGUGUAUCGUAUUCCGAACGAAUCCCCAGGAUCCUUUUGUUGAUUUUUGUGUUGGCUGAUUUUGUUGAGGUUUGAUAUCUGCUACAACUCACAAUCGUGAUAGGAUGUUCACUUUCGCAAACCUCAAAAUUGCGAGAACCUGAUCGUGAAAGAGAGGAAGGUAGAAGUCUAGACCUUUGUGAUUGCAAAGGGCUAGUUCGCGAUCGCAACCUUUGUGAAAGAAAAGGCCGAAUUUUUUUCGGUGACAUCAUAGUGUUUUUAUAUGAAAUUUUGAAGGUUAACCCCCCAUUUUCCAUUUUUGAGUUUUCGAAAACCCUUGGUGCUGAUUUUGAAGAGAUUUCUUGUGCUAAAUCAUUUGGGUAAGCUUUUGUGACCCUAAAACUUCAUUUCCCUUUGAUCAUUUAUCAAUUUUAACAUCAAAACUUGAGAUUUUGAUUGGCAAAUGUCAAGGUUUUUCGAGAACUUGAGUUCUAAACUAAAAUAUUGAUUGUGAACUAAAUUGAUUUCCUUUUUGGAGAUGAAUUCCACCAAUGAUUUCCAAAUGCAUUGGGUAACAUUUUCAAAUAAAGAUUUUUUAAUGCAAACAUUUUUGGAGUUGGGUUUUUGUGGAUUGCCUUGUUGUGGACCCUAUUUGGUUGAUUGAUGAAAUGCUUUGAUUAUAUUUAUGUGGACUUGAAUUGCUUGAAUUAUUCUCUUCCUUAUGGUGUGAAAUUGCUUAUUUGCAUUGAUUGUUGUACAUCGUGAUGAUACAUGCGAUGUUGUGCUGAAGGAAAAUGACUCUGGCUAGUGAUGUACUAUAAAGCCAAAAGGAAAUGGUUCCGGCAAGAGCUAUAAUAUAAAUCCUAAGGAAAUAGUUCCAACUGGUGAUAUUGUAUCAAAGGAAAAUUGUUCCGGCAAGAGUUGAUUAUUGACAUUUCGAUGCAAUUGAUACUUGUGAUUGAUCUAUUUGUUACUUGUGAUUGACAUAGUUGAUAUGUGUUGGUUUUUGAACUGUGACUAUUGAACUAUUUGAUUAAGCCUUGUAAACUAUGUAUUGUGAAACUGUUAGGUUGGGCUAAUUUCUAUGCAAGUUGUAGUUUGAGAAAGUUUGGUUGGGAUGAAAGGAGUAUUCAUUUAUAGCUUGUUUUGCCAUGUUUAUUUGGUUACUUGUUGAGGACCAUGUUGAUUGGUAUUCACUCCUUGAUUCUACACUUUUGUCGGUUCAGAGUCCAGUCUCAUGUAAUUGCUCUUCUUCUUCUCCUAUUUUUGAGGCUUGUCAAUGGACUUUGAGAGGUAGUUGCUUGUCAUUCUAGCGGACCCUAUUGCUCCUUACUUUAUGCUUUGUUCUACUUGAGCAACGAAGACAUGGAGACUUGUAAUUUUCUUUCAUUUCGCACAUUAUGGAUUAAUGGCUUGUACACGUGACAACUAGGUUUUGGAAUUAUAAUAGAAUGAAUAGGUUUUCCACUUUUAUCUUGUUCUUGUUUCAUUUGCAUCUCUUUCAUUUUAUUGGGUUGAGGAUAACUCGUCUUGAUGGAAUAGACAAGUGUCAUCACAUCCAUAUUUGGGUCGUGACUGUAUAAAUUCUUUUUGUGAAUGCUAGAUUGAUUCUUAAGUUUAUUCAUCUCUUGUUUAAUAGUCAACUUCUCAUGUAAGGCUAACGUCACUUAAUGUCAGAUUUUUUCUACAUAGGAUUUACCUUUUCUUUUCUUUGUAUUCAUAUAAAAUAUAUUCUCUAUAACUAAUUUGGAUAUAUAAUUCGAUUUAUGGUGUUCACUCAAACUUUAUUCAUUUUGUUAUGAUAUUCACAUUAAUCUAGUUACUGAUGUUAUUCCUUGUAAAAUAUUGAUUUAAUAACAAAUGAUGGUUUUUCUUGGUGGAUAUAUGUACGAUCGGUUGGGCAGGCUAUUAGCUACACAAAUUUUGAUUGAGAUAAAAAAAAUAAAAAGAAAAUAGAUAGGGAUGGAGCAUAGACAGGUCGAGAAGGUAAAAGCACGCAGUCCAGAAGUUGAUGUGGCUAUUAUUAUGCUUUUCUAGGUAGAAAAGAGGUUGAGGCUUUAAAUGCAGUUAUCACAUGUAUUAUUUCAACUUUUUAUUGACAUACUAUUAUUUUAUUUGAUCUAGGAUCUACUUAUUCUUAUGUAUCUGCCUAUUUUGCUACGUACAUGACUAUGAUGUGUGAUUCCUUGAUAACCUAUACAUGUUUCUACUCAUGUAUGUGAUUUAUUAGUAGUGUAUGAUCUAGCAUUGUGACCUUGUUGGGGGUAUGAUACAUGGGUGGACCUUAUCAUUCUUGAUACGGUGGAUGAUUUUGGGUAUGAAUUGGUUAUGUUCUUAUCAUACAGGUUUGGAUGUUAUGUCAAGACUGUUACUUUUGUUAUGUCAGGAGUUACUCAUUUUGUGUGGAAGGGUACAUUUAACCAUUCACCUAAGAGGGUGAUAUCAAUUUUAGAGAAAGGAGGAUGGUAGAGAAGGAGUGUUUGGCUUACUUAGCACACAUUCGAGAUACUAAUAUAGUGGAAUAAGAUAAUUCUUUUUAGUAUAUCACGAUUUUGUUUAUUUUCGUAGGUACAUUUUAAAGAAUUAAAAGGCUUGAAAUAUUGCUUUAAUUUGCAAAUAUAUGUUAAUGAAAGAAUAUUAAAUGAAUGGUCAUAAGUACUUACUAUGAAACUAUCGUGAUAAUCUAAUUCAAAAUUUAUAUAGAUUGGGAAGUACAUCUAUGUAGAAAGAUAAAGAAAAAAGGGUACAACUAAUUGCUACAAAAAUAUCAUUUUCUAUUGAUAUAUUAUUUUUAUUAUGGUGUGAUAAUUAACAAAAAAAUUAGAACCAAAAAUUAGUUAAUAAUUAAUCACUUAUUAAUUAGUUAAUAAUUAAUUGCUUAGGCGGAUUGUUUUUAUCAUUUAGAAAAACUAUAAAAACUAGAAUAAAUGGUGCAAUAGCAAUAAAUGUAAGAAAUUUUUAUUAAAAAAUAAUUUAAAUUUUUUAGUAUUAAUUUUCUUUUGAAAAAUGAAAAUUCAAAAUAGGAAGAAAAUUUUCUCACAAUGUUUAGAUUUUCUAAAUAUAAAUUAACUAAUGUGUAUAAAUCGGAGAAUAUCUAUAAUAACAAAUGGACAAUAGUAUCUUUAAUAAGAAAACAACAACAAUAACUUUCAAGUUUGAUUGUCAAGCUGUCACUUUAACAAACUUGUCAUACAAGAGGACAAAUAGCAUCUUUAAUAAGAAAACAACAUCAAUAACUUUCAAGUUUGGCUGUCACUUGAACAAACUUAUCAUACAAGAGAUGUGAAAUCUACAAGUUUGAAGGUGAGCCUUCGGCCUUAAAUUCUUUAUAUACCUCCAUUAUUUAAAUGAACAAUUCAAUCUUAUCUCUUCGUUCAAGAAAAAUAAAAUAGGUGAAGUUGUCCUCUUUUGGGUAAAAUUUUAUGUUUUUUUUAAAAAGAUACUUAUAUUAAUGAUUAAUAUGUAUCAGUACAUGGAAGAGGCAGAGUUAUACGCCUGCUAGUAGUGUUAUGGUGGGAUACAAUAGGAUCAUAACUAUUACAAUUAGUAGAAGUGGUAGAUGACCUUUGUGGCCUAACAAAAAAAGUUCCUCCGUUGUCUACAUCCAACAUUAAUGAAACAAACACCGGUGGAACUUUCAAGCACAAAAAGGAAUUAUCUUGAUUAGUCUUUGAUCCCUCCCUUGCUAGAGCAUCUGCCACCUGAUUUAUUUCCUUAAACGUGUAGUGAAUUGGGGGCCUCCCCAGACAGCUCAGUAGAUCCUUUCAAUCAAGUAACAUGUCUGUAUAAGAUUGGUGAUCGUUCUCAAUAAGAGUGAUCAGUUCCUUGCAUUCUAUAUUGAAUUCUAGGGGUAAUAAUCCUCUUACUAAAGCUAUAUGGAAUCCCUACAUGAGAGUUGUUAGUUCUGCUUUGAUAUUGUUUGCCAUAUGUUGACUGCACAUAUAUCCUACUAUUCAUUUUCCACUUAAGUCUCUACUGACUCCACCGUACCACUCCUGACAGGGUUCCCCUUUGAGGAGUCUUCGUUGUUUAGUUUAUAGCCUUUUAUAGGGGGCACUCAUCUGAUAAGAGUUUUUAUAAUUUUUUCAUUUAUGGUUUUGCCUCCCGUGAGGGUGUGGAAAUCAAUGGCUUGAUUAAGUGAUUUUUUAAUGCAUAUGUUAGUUUUGAUGUUUUGAUGAUAAUUUUCGUUUCUUUUUAGCCAUAUGCUCUAUAGGAAAAAUGGAAGUAAUUCUUUCCGGUUCAGAAACUUUUGCUUUGUACGUACCUGCAGGUUCCUUAAGAGUCUUAGCCAAUCUUUUCCUUGAUUAUUUUUAAAUUGAUUUAUGUGUUGUAGGACAUAUAGGUCUUUCCACAUUUUUUUUUACCACGUAGUAUUCUAUAAAAAUAUGGUCUAUAGUCUCUGUUUUGUUACAUAUAUGGGGAAUAGCUGAUCGACAUUAAUUCCUAUGGAAUGUGGGUAUUUUCUGAUAGGCAACCAACUGUGCUGACAUAACCAGAUGAAGUACUUAAUUUUGUUCGGGCAAUUUGAGAGACCAAAUCCAAUUAUAGUUAUCUAGGGAUGUGUUGUUUGACCUUAAAUUUUAACAUUUUUAUAUUGCUUCCUCUUCUAUUUUUUUUCAUAAUGUCGACUUAUCUAGAACCAAUUGAGUGUCCUUUAUGUGGGAGAAGUAUUUGCAGCUAUCAAGAAUGUCACGACCCGAAUCUACACCCUAGACGUGGCCGACACUCGAGAACCAUUGCUGCUCCCCAAGCGAAUCCUCAUCCUGGCUGACUACAAGUGGAAGACUAACUCAAAGCAUACAAAAGCUUUAAAAAAGUGAAUAAAAAUUCAUGAAAUUCAAAUGAAAACUCUGAAUAAAAUAAAUUAUUCAACUCGCCAUAAAAUAGGCAACUUAAGUCUUUAAAACAUUUAAUAAAAUAAAUGAACAGACUUCUGAAACUCUAUUGUCUAUCUAUGAAGCCCCCUAAAUGACAAAGAUGGAAGUCGGAACAAGACCCACGACAUCCUAAUAAAACUGAAAAAUAAAUGAAAUCAGCCGGAAGCAAGGAGGCUCACCAUAGCUAACUCGAACUCCAUGUGGUAUCAACAAAACUCUUGUUGAUGAUCCUAAAUACCUGAAUCUGCAUCAUGAAAGUAUGCAGGACAAAUGGCUUGGCUCAGUACGUGGAAUGUAUGAGCAUGUAAGGGGAAUUCUAAAGCAUAACAUAAGCUUGAAACUUGAUAAAAAGGGAAACACACUUACCUCUUCUCAAACUUACUCAACUCAAGGAAUACUCAAGGAUACUCAAAACUACUCAAACUUACUCAACUCAGAAGUACUCAAGGAUAAGAUACUCAGCUCGAAAGACUCAACUCAUGAUACUCAAGGAUAAAGCAAUAGUAAAAGAUGCAAUAUAUAUGGAAAGCUGUAAAAAUGUAGAUAGCAACUCAAUGUGUAUAUAAAAAUACAAUAUAACUUUGUGGGAGUUUCUCUAAUCGACAACCACCACUAUGAGCCUAAGUGAUGAUACAACGUCUUGCCCACGCUACCAGAACUGUCCUAUACUUUGUCGUAAUAUAGAACGCCUUAACUAAGUGGAUCCACUAGCCUAUGCUAAAAAGCACUAAGGAAUCAUCUAAAAAGUAUGAUCAUUUCUACCCAUGAUGGCUACAUGGUUUAUGGAGACUUGAGUUAUUAUGAACUCGCAUCCCCAUAUCGGUGUUCAAUACUACUCUCAAAAAUAUACUUUGCUCAUAUGUUUUUAAAACAAAACUCUUUCUUUGGUUUGAGAUAAUUACUCAAAAAUUAGCUUAAAAGCUCUCUUNNNNNNNNNNNNNNNNNNNNNNNNNNNNNNNNNNNNNNNNNNNNNNNNNNNNNNNNNNNNNNNNNNNNNNNNNNNNNNNNNNNNNNNNNNNNNNNNNNNNNNNNNNNNNNNNNNNNNNNNNNNNNNNNNNNNNNNNNNNNNNNNNNNNNNNNNNNNNNNNNNNNNNNNNNNNNNNNNNNNNNNNNNNNNNNNNNNNNNNNNNNNNNNNNNNNNNNNNNNNNNNNNNNNNNNNNNNNNNNNNNNNNNNNNNNNNNNNNNNNNNNNNNNNNNNNNNNNNNNNNNNNNNNNNNNNNNNNNNNNNNNNNNNNNNNNNNNNNNNNNNNNNNNNNNNNNNNNNNNNNNNNNNNNNNNNNNNNNNNNNNNNNNNNNNNNNNNNNNNNNNNNNNNNNNNNNNNNNNNNNNNNNNNNNNNNNNNNNNNNNNNNNNNNNNNNNNNNNNNNNNNNNNNNNNNNNNNNNNNNNNNNNNNNNNNNNNNNNNNNNNNNNNNNNNNNNNNNNNNNNNNNNNNNNNNNNNNNNNNNNNNNNNNNNNNNNNNNNNNNNNNNNNNNNNNNNNNNNNNNNNNNNNNNNNNNNNNNNNNNNNNNNNNNNNNNNNNNNNNNNNNNNNNNNNNNNNNNNNNNNNNNNNNNNNNNNNNNNNNNNNNNNNNNNNNNNNNNNNNNNNNNNNNNNNNNNNNNNNNNNNNNNNNNNNNNNNNNNNNNNNNNNNNNNNNNNNNNNNNNNNNNNNNNNNNNNNNNNNNNNNNNNNNNNNNNNNNNNNNNNNNNNNNNNNNNNNNNNNNNNNNNNNNNNNNNNNNNNNNNNGUUAUGAAUGAUUUCUAGGUGUUUAGAAGUAGCUUAGAGUAGUUAGAAUCGAAAAGGAGUGAAGGUACCUUUUGAAAGAACUCAAACGGAGUAACCGAUUGCAAACUGGACGAAGCAAGUGACCCUGGGGCUAUAAGUGGUGCGGGGCGCCAGCCCCUAAACUUUAGAGCAUACUUUGGGGCGCUCUGGCUGGCGCGACGCGCCAGGCCCCAACCUAGAAGACCCGACAAAAUUCUUCGCUCGUUUUCUCACCCUAAUUCGCCUAGAAUAGAACGGUUUCUUCCUGUUAGAAGACCCGACGAAAUUCUUUUUUCUCACCCUAAUUCGCCUAGAAUCGAACGGUUUCUUCCCCAAUCACUUGGAUUCGAUUACUUGACAUAAGUACACUCUAAUCUACUCAAUAAAUCCCUCAAAACACUCACUUUAAUCUCAAAAAAUCAUCAAAACCCCAAUACAACAAGAUUUAGAAUGAACUUCAAGAACACCUAUCAAGAACUCUAAUCUUUCAACUUCAAGAACGAAAUUUCGCUGAAAAUAACAUGAUUGGUGUGUGGGUGAACUAACCCAAUACUAUGGAAGCUUACAUACCUCUUAAGGAUUGAACCCAUGGCGAAAAUCUACAACAAAAUGCAAGACUCUCGAGGAACGCUUUGAUCCUUUCCUUUUUUCUCCUUUUUUCUCUUCUUUUCUCUUCUUGAACUCUCAACUAAAAACCUAGGUGUAUAUUAGGAUUAUAAAACUGAACCUAAUAGGAUUAUACCCCUAAAACAUUACUAAAAACAAAUUAAAUAUGAUUGGGUAAGGAAAAGACCAAAAUACCCCUUACUAUUUUCGGGAAACUUUCCUUAACUGGAUAGCCUGACUUCAAAAGGGUAUAUGUCACUCAUACAAACUCGAAACUUAGCAAACUUGGUGGCGUUGGAAAGAUAAUUCAAAUACCUUUCAUUGGGUACCUUGUAGACCACCUAACUCAUCUUGUGCUGAUAGUUAUGGUCAUUUUAAGUUGACCCAAAAUUUAAAGGAACUUAGGAUGACUUGAAUGAACUCUCUUUAGUUCUUCUUGAUACUCAAGGUGCUACAUCUAGUGACCUUAACACUCCAGAAAUUUUAGUUCCCUCGGUAAAAUCCUAAUCACAACGAAGGAUUGUUCGAGUCUCGGUUCGAAAAAAUUUCUGGGGUGUUACAAAGAAUUCAUGAUUCAUGUUCAAUCUUAUUCAAUCGACGAAAUGGAGGUAGACGUUGUAGAAGGUUCAAACAACGUAAGUGUACCAUUACCAAGACCUUCAAAAUCAGUUCAACAUGUAAAAACCUUAGGAAGCAAAAGAGCUAAUUCACAAUCACCAUCUCUACCACCGUCAUUUCGUUCCAGAUGGGUUAGAGGUAACAAUAGGGAUACAAAUGUGCUAGUAAAUCAACAGGAAUCAUUGUUGCUACCGAUGUUGAUGGCACCACCACCAUCAUCACCAUCACUAUCCUCAUAUGAUGCCCACUUUAUUAAAGGUAAUGAUGAUGACAAAUGUGUACAUACAAAUCAACAGAUAUUACCAUCACUCUCAUAUCAUACUAGCUCAAAUAGAGGUAGCAAUGAAGACAGAGAUAUGGAUACAAACCAACAACUACUAUCACCAUCACUAUUAUAUCUUCCUCUCUUAAUUUAUAUUAAUAUAAUAGGCCUGCAAGCAAAUCGGUGAUAACACUCGAAUUACUCCUCAAAACUAAUUAAAAGACUGAGAGGUCGUCGUCAAUAAAAACACUCAACUAAGAGUCGGGUCGAAUUCCACAAUGAACAAUGUACUAUAAAUUGAACAGAUAAAGGACAACUAGAUACUUGUUUGAACCUAUACAAACAAGGUACAGAAAUAUCAAAUAGAAGGCAAUUUUUAUAACUAAACUUCUAAAUAUAAAUUAACUAAUAUGUAUAAAUCGGAGAAUAUCUAUAAUAACAAAAGGACAAUAGUAUCUUUAUUAAGAAAACAACAUCAAUAACUUUCAAGUUUGAUUGUCAAGCUGUCACUUUAACAAACUUCUCAUACAAGAUAUGUGAAAUCUACAAGUUUGAAGGUGAGCCUUCGGCCUAUAAAUUCUUUAUAUGACCUCCAUAAGUUAGAUGAACAAUUCAGUCUUAUCUCCUCGUUCAAGAAAAAUAAGAUAGGUGAAGUUGUCUUCUUUUGGGUAAAAUUUUAUGUUUUUUUUUUCCACAAAAGAUACUUAUAUUAAUGAUUAAUAUGUAUCAGUACAUGGGAGAGGCAGAGUUGUACACCUGCUAGUAGUGUUAUGGUGGGAUAAUAGUAUAGUGGAGUAAGACAAUUCUUUUUAGUAUAUCACGAUUUUAUUUAUUUUUGUAGGUACAUUUUAAAGAAUUAAAAGGCUUGAUAUAUUGCUUUAAUUUGCAAAUAUAUGUUAAUGGGAGAAUAUUAAAUGAAUGGCCAUAAGUACUUACUAUGAAACUAUUGUGAUAAUCUAAUUCAAAAUUUGUAUGGAUUGACAAGUACAUCUAUGUAGAAAGAAAAAGAAAAAAGGGUACAACUAAUUGCGACAAAAAUAUCAUUUUCUAUUAAAUUAUGAUAUAUUAUUUUUAUUAUGGUUUGAUAAUUAACAAAAAAAAAUUAGAACAAAAAACGUUAAUAUUACACAAACAAAUAUUUUAUAAGUCAAAAGUCAAGUUUCGUUAAUUAGUUAAUAAUUAAUCGCUUAGACGGAUUGUUAUUACAUAAAUGAUAAGUAGAAAAGCGAUAGAAACUAGAAUAAAUAGUGCAAUAGCAAUAAAUGUAAGAAGUUUUUAUUAAAAAAUAAUUUUAGUGUUUUAGUAUUAAUUUUCUUUUGAAAAAUGAAAAUUUUAAAGAGGAAGAAAAUUUUCUCACAAUGUUUAGAUUUUCUAAAUAUAAAUUAACUAAUAUGUAUAAAUCGGAGAAUAUCUAUAAUAAUAAUAAAAGGACAAUAGUAUCUUUAAUAAGAAAACAACAACAAUAACUUUCAUGUUUGAUUGUCAAGCUGUCACUUUAACAAACUUAUCACACAAGAGGACAAUAGUAUUUUUAAUAAGAAAACAACAUCAAUAACUUUCAAGUUUGGUUGUCAAGCUGUCACUUUAACAAACUUAUCAUACAAGAGGUGUGAAAUCUACAAGUUUGAAGGUGAGCCUUCGCCGUAAAUUCUUUAUAUAGGCUCCAUUAUUUAGAUGAACAAUUCAAUCUUAUCUCCUCGUUCAAGAAAAAUAAGAAAGGUGAAGUUGUCCACUUUAGGGUAAAAUUUUAUUUUAUUUUUUUACAAAAGAUACUUAUGUUAAUGAUUAAUGUGUAUCAGUACAUGGAAGAGGCGGAGUUGUACGCCUGCUAGUAGUGUUAUAGGCGGAUACAAUAGGAUCAUAACUAUUACAAUUAGUAGAAGUGGUAGAUGACCUUUGUGGCCUAACAAAAAUAGUUACUCCUUUGUCUACGUCCAACUUUUUUGAAACAAACACCGGUGGAAUUUCCAAGCACAAAAAGAUAUUAUCUUGAUUAGUCUUUGAUCCCUCCCUUGCUAGAGAUCUGCCACCUGAUUUGUUUCCCUAAACGUGUGGUGAAUUGGCAGGCUCCCCAGACAGCUCAGUAGAUCCUUGCAAUCAAGUAACAUGUUUGUAUAUGACUGGUGAUCGUUCUCAAUAAGAGUGAUGAGUUUCUUGCAAUCUAUAUUGACUUCUAGUGGUAAUAAUCCUCUUGCGAAAGCUAUAUGGAGUCCCUGCAUGAGAGUUGUUAGUUAUGCUUUGAUAUUGUUUGCCAUAUGUAAAUCGCCCCUAUAUCCUACUAUUCAUUUGCCACUUGAGUCACUAAUGACUCAACCCGUACCACUCCUGCCAGGGUUCCCCUUUGAGGAGUCGUUGUUGUUUAGUUUAUAGCCUUUUAUAGGGAGCAUUCAUCUCAUAAGAGUUUUUAUAAUUUUUUCCUUUAUGGUUGUGCCUCCUGUGAGGGUGUGGAACUCAAUGGCUUGAUUAAGUGAUUUUUUAAUGCAUAUGUUAGUUUGGUGUUUUGAUGACAAUUUUCGUUUCUUUUUAGCCAUAUGCUCCAUAGGAAAAAUGGAAGUAAAUCUUGCCAGUUCAGGAACUUUUGCUUUGUACGUACCUUCAGGUUCCUUAAGAGUCUUAUCUUUUCCUUGGUUAUUUUUUAAUUGAUUUAUGUAUUGUAGGACAUAUAUGUCUUUUCACAUUUUUUUACCACGUGGCAUUCUAUAAAAAUAUGGUCUAUAGUUUUUGUUUUGUUACAUAUAUGGCAUAGCUUAUCAACACUUAAUUCCUACGGAAUGUAGGUAUUUUCUGGUAGGCAGCCAAUCGUGCUGACAUAACCAGAUGAAGUACUUAAUUUUAUUCGGGCAUUUGAGAGACCAAAUCCAAUUAUAGUUAUCUAUGGAUGUGUUGUUUGACCUUAAAUAUUAACUUUUCUAUAUUGCUUUCCUUUCAAAAAAAAUUCAUAAUGUCGACUCCUCUAGAACUAAUUGAGUGUCCUUGAUGUGGGAGAACUGUUUGCAACUAUCAGGAAUUCAUGAUUCAUGUUCCAUUUUAUCCAAUCGACGAAAUGGAGGUAGACGUUGUAGAAGGUUCAAACAACCUAAGUGUACCAUUACCAAGACCUUCAAAAUCAGUCCAACAUGUAAGAACCUUGGGAAGCAAAAGAGCUAAUUUACAAUCACCAUCUCUACCACCGUCAUUUCAUUUCAGAUGGGUUAGAGGUAACAAUAGUGAUACAAAUGUGCUAGUAAAUCAACAGGAAUCAUUGUUGCUACAGAUGUUGAUGGCACUACCACCAUCAUCACCAUCACCAUCCUCAUAUGAUGCUCGUUUUACUCAAGGUAAUGAUGAUGACAAAGGUGUACAUACAAAUCAACAAAUAUUACAAUCACCCUCAUAUCACACUAGCUAGCUCAAAUAGAGGUAGCAAUGAAGACAGAGAUAUGGAUACAAAUCAGCAACUACUAUCACCAUCACUAUUAUAUCUUCCUCUCUCAAUUAAUGAUAAUAAAAUAGGCAUGCAAGCAAAUCGGUGAUAACACUCGAAUCACUCCUCAAAACUAAUUAAAAGAGUGAGAGGUCAUUGUCAAUAAAAACACCCAACUAAGAGUUAGGUCGAAUCCCACAAUGAACAAUGUAACGUCAAUUGAAAAGAUAAAGGCUAAAUAGAUACUUGUUUGAACCUAUACAAACAAGGUACACAAAUAUCAAAUGGAAGGCAAUUUUUAUAACUAAACUUCUAAUGGGGAUAAAGACAAUAUCAAGCAAGGAAUGUUCGGGAAUUGGAAAAACUUGAGAUUCAAUCAACACUCAACGAUUCAUUGCAAUUCAAUCCAAGAUCAAUCACUAAUAAGUAGGCUAGGUCAUCUUCAAUUACGCUAAUUAUCUUUCAAUCUAAAAGUGUUUUAUUGUGAUAUCUCAUUUCGGUCUCAAUCACACAAAUAAAAAAAUAACCCACUACCUUAACUUAGACAUGUCUUUAAGAAAGCUAGCACCAACAAUGAAACCCUAAACUUUCAUCUUUAGAUCUCAAAUUCAAGAUUCCAAGCCCAAAUGCGAUUAUCAAUCUAAUUCUCCACUCCAAUCAAUCUCUUUCGAGCAUCAAUCGAACACCAAAAGCUAGGAUUGAGGGUACACUCUCAACCCAUAAAUUCAAACAUAAAAGCUAGAUUGAACCUAUUUCAUGAAAUCAAGCAUGGAAACAAGGAACUACAAAAACAAUAGACCAAUUAAGUAAACACCCAAAUAGCUUUGUCUAUUUCUAGCAAAAGUCCCAAUUUCAUACAAAUCAUCACACCCAUAUUUCUAGCAAUUAAGAACAAGGACAUGAAGAGAGAUUAAAAGAUAUUACUAAAAUAGAAUGCAAUCUUCAAAUCCACAACGGAAAUGUGAGGUAGCUCGCCUCCAAUGUCUUAACUCCAUAACAAAUUCUACAAUUUAUUCUUCAAAAAAUAUGCUAAGCUAUGCAGAUUUCUCUAUUUUCUGAUAUGGAAUGUUGCAUAAUUGAACAAUGAUUGUCAUGAGUGUAAAAAGGAUUUUGGAAAUAGAUAUGGUGAAAUUCCCAAUAUGUCCAAGCUGCUCUAAAUCGCGACAUUGCGCGUUCACAAACUUGUGUUAACCAAACGCAUUUGCGGACCUACGUUCACCAUAGUCCCGCAUUCGCAGCCCAUAGGGAGCAUUCGCAGACCUUCGCUGACCACAGUCCCGGGUUUUCGGCCCCUAGCCGUUCACGAAGGGCACUUUCCCUGUCAUAAAUGUAACUUUAAGCUCUUAACCUCUUUUUUCUCUAAUUCCACUUGAUUUCUUCAAAAAUCUUCUAAACUCAUUCUUCAUUUCAUUUUCCUGCAAAUGUGAAGCAAGCCACAUUAAACAUACUGAUUUUAAACCAAAGCAAGCCAAAAUAACUAAGAAAAAGUGCCUCAAAUGAGUGGAAAUUCACCACUCAUCAACACCCCCCAACUUAGAAACUUUGCUUGUCAUCAAGUAAAGAAAACAAAAAACACAAGAGGCUCUUAUUCUAGCACACACCAUACAUCGAUUUCACCAUAUUCACUUAAGCACAAAGUAAUGACUUUGGUUGCUACUAACAAAUAGGCCACAUGCAAACUUUUCACAAACUAAAUCCCCUCAUUAUCAUGGCACACUUUAAAGAAUCUAGAAUCAUUUAUUGACAACAACUCAAACUCAAGAAGUGGCUCAAUUAUUAGUUCUAUGCUAGGCGCACUUGACUCAUUUUGUUAUUAUCAAAAUCACCACUUCUCCAACUUACAUGCCCUCACAAAGAAAGAAAUGUCCUAACACACUCACAAAGUAUUUACAAAACAAGGGACAAAGAUGCAAACACUCGCACUCACAACAAAACAUCUCAUGAACACAAAUGACACAUCAUAGGCUUGCCCCUAUUUUCAAUGAAUAUUGACUCAACUUCAUUCGGUUGGAAAUCUCAAAGGACUUUGUUGAGCUUGUAAUGUAGGUUUGGGCAAGGUUAGGAUAUCAUUUGGGUAUAGGUUACUACACCCUCCUUGAACACUACACAACAAAUUUUCAACUUUUUCUUCAAUCUUCAGCUUAAUGCACAUUUCACAUCAUUUUCUUAUUUUUCUUUCAAUAUGCCCCACAUGCAACCAUUUUCAACUUUUUUGAGGAUUCAAGUCUCACAUUUAUUCAAAGUCUUUUUUUUUUUUUCACAACUUUUCCUUCCAUUAUCAAACUCUUUUUUUUAGUCAAGCCUUCAUGCGUUAAUCAUCCAUCUAUAAUCUUUCCAUAACACCCCCAACUUAGGAUUUUAGCCUCAACUUUCACAUUUCUUAAGUUCAAAAGAAGGUUACUUUUGAAAAAGGUUCAAGGCUUGUAAUGCGGUUGCCAAUAAAAAGGUUAAGGCUCAAAGGGGACAACUAAGGAUACAUUUAGUGCAAAGGUGGGAUUUUUAGGCUAAGUGGGCUUCAAGGACAAUCAAACAAAGCCUAAGAUCAUUUCUCCAACCAAACUCAAUCAAGACCAACAUUUCAAGACUAACCGGGAAAGAUCUAGUUAACACAAGUGAUAACAAGGCAUUAUUGACAAACACUCACUACACAUGGCUUGCAAAUUGAUUAAGAUGGUUCAAAAAUCCAACUUUCUUUUUAAAGUGCAAGUGGCAUCAAACAAUUAAAACGCUAACGAAUCAAAAGUUACCAAACGAGUUAUGAGUGUUUUCACAAAAUCAUUCCUUCACACACAACUUUAAAAAACGAAGGGGGUAUGAUUUACUUCAUUCACAUGCACAACUAUAUUCCUAGUACCAAUGAAGCCACAACCUCCCAAAAAGAUGACGAUUUUGCCCUUAAGAAAAUGGUCACCCUCUAUCAUCGGGAAACUUCAUGCAUCUAUCUAAGGUUGCCUACUCAGAUUUCGCCACAUACAACACCAAUCAAACACUCAUAAUAAAUCGACAAUUUACCCUUAAGAAAGUCGUCACUCUAUCCAUCAUCGGGCAUCCUCAAUCCCCAUCUCAAUUAUUUAAAACAAAAAUAAAGCAAAAAUAUGACUAAAAGAAACAAAAUAAACAAACCAAACCAACAUAACAUAUCAACAAGUCGGAUGAGGGCACACCAUCCACAAAACCAAAGUAUCAAACAAACCUGACAAGGGAAACAUCAAAUCCAAAACAUAAACAAAGUAUGCUCGUCAAGGGCACAAUCACAAUCAAUGAAAAAGAAAACAACAAGGGAGCACCCCAACUAGAAAUGAGACAGUGUCCUCACAAUCAAUAUAUCAAAAGAGAAUACGAAGGACUCCCUGAACUUCCUCACUCUGAACUCAAAUCGGUAGGGUUUGUGAGGUCCUCCUCAUCUAAAGCACUACUACCACAUAAGCUCCUAACCUUCCCCAUCAUCUUUCUCAGGAACUUGCUCUUUGUUCGUUCAUGCUCCCGGAAUGACCUCUGCUUUUGUUCUAUCUUGCCCUACUCAAGUGCUCAAGCCUGUCAUACAUCGACCUCAAUACAACAUCUACAUAAGCAAUAGUAGGUGGAGGAACACCCUCCGAGAUGGUGGCUCCAGACAUGCCGGAAGAAAUGCUUGACAUAAUCUCCCUAACCUCGUGGAUUUGGGAGGAAAGAUGCCUCAUGGUGGCGGGUCCAUACUAAAGCAGCCCGACAAAUGUGGAAGCACCGGAUACAGACUCUAUCUCAAUGAACUGGACAAACUCAGGGUUGGCCAUAUCAAUCUUCCUCUUCGCUCUCUCCCAACUUCCCCUUCCUCAAAGGAUAGAUCUUUUUCCCAGCUUCUUCUACUCAUCUGUAGGGUGUUUUACCACCCCAGCCUCAUAGAAAAAUCUAGUAAUCAGAGAUGGGAAUAUAAUACUCUUGGCUCUCCCCGGAGCCAACUCAAAAAUCUGGUCAACAAUCAAUCUCCCAACAUCAAUCCCCAUGUCAUCCAUAAUAGCAGCAAUCAAAACAGCCCUAUCUAGUGUCACCUAAGUGUCGUGGGUGGAAGGGAUGAUCAGAGCCCAUAUGAAAGACAUUCAAGACUUAAUCUCGGCUAAGAACUCAUGUGAAUCAAUUCUUCAGUUUGAAGUAAACCACCACCAUAAAGCUUAUCAACAAGCCACUAAUUCCCUAACUCAUUGUACCUAUUUAUGAACCCUCAUUAUCAGCAUCUCAGAGUCCAUACAGUUAGCUAGACGAUAGUGGACUUGAACACCUCAGAUUGUGGUAACCACCUCUCCAUUGAAGCUUGUCUCAAAGACAUUGGCAUAAAACUUUUCCACUAAGGUGUGAUUAGCCUUCAUAGGCUCAGCGGCAAAGCAUAUCCAUCCACUAGUAAUUAGCCGGCCAUAGAAGUCCAGCAUUCCAUCCUCGAACUUUUCCAAGCAAAUAGUUUUAUCUUUGACUACCACCCGACCCAAGUAUUCAUUGUAUUUUCAGCCACAUUUUGGCGAUAGGAACCUGCUCUUAUCAUAGUACUCGUCUUUCUCAAUUUCCGAAGCCAUUUCUUGAGCAUUUGGUUCGGUUUCAGAAGUCAUUUCAAGCACAAAGUACCUACAAAUGAAGCCAACAUGUUAAAAGUUUUUGAGGACACUCAAAAUGUACAAUGUAUUAUGAAGUAUUUAUACUAGAGAAAUCAUCAAAAGGGGGCCUAAGCUAAGCUAUAUGCAAAGCUACUGUUUAAGACUUGCCAUCACUGACUCUUUUGUGUUCACGUAAGAGCGUCACGUUCGCGGCUUAGCGGACAUGUCUACUCCGCGUUCACGGAUAUAGGGGCACAUUCCCAGAGAAUCUAGUAUUAGAUUCCUUCGUGUUCGUAGCUAGAGGGCCGCAUUCGCGAAGUCAUCUUCUCUAGAAAUUGAACAUUGGUUAAGGCAGUUUUUUCGAAUAGGUAAGGUCCAACAACAACAACAACAACACCACCACCCGCAGCAACAACAACAACAAUUCUUACCUUUAAUGGAUAAUGAUCACAGAUUUUGUGGGCAACACUAUAUUUUAAAAGUCACUUAGGAAUAAAUACUCAUUUGAGAAGUCAACAAACGCUUCAAAUAUUCACUCCUUUCUAUACAUGCAUUGUAUUGUAAAUAUGUACUCCCUCCGUUUCACAAAGAAUGACCUGGUUUGACUUGGCACGGAGUUUAAGUAAAUAAAGAAGACUUUUGAAUCUUGUGGUCCUAAAUUAAAGUUAUGUCAAAUGUACAAAAUUGUCCUUAAUCUUGUGGUCUUAAACAUGCCACGUGGAAAGCAAAAAGUAAAAUGUUACCAAAAAAAGGAAAGAGGUCAUCUUUUUGAAACUGACUAAAAAGGAAAGGAGAUCAUUCUUUGUGAAACGGAGGGAGUAUUUCAUUUCUUUCUUCUUCUCUUUUUUUGAAUUUGCUUCAUAGUGUUUGAAAUUUUAAUCCAAGACAACUACUCAACAAGGUUAUAUCACUUUAAGUAUGUAAUAAUACAUUUAAAUCUUUUAGAUUAUAUAGAUUGUUUCUCUAAAAAUAGUUAUUUAUUGUAUAUUUAUAAUCCAAAUAUAUGUGAGUAUCAAUAUUUUUUUCAAAUAUAUAUGCCUUGUUAAAGAAUGACAAAAGUCCCACAUCGGUGAUUAAUGAGAUGGGUGGACUCCUUAUAAGGCUUGGGCAAUCCUCCUCCCUUUGAGCUAGCUUUUGGGGUGUGAGUUAGGUCUAAGACCUAAUUUAACAUGGUAUCAGAGCAGGGCCCGUCUCACCCGAUGUUGGACCCCCAAAAUCAAAAUUGCCCACGCACCAGAUGCUAAGCACUGGGCGUGAGGUGGGGUGUUAAAGAAUGACAAAAGUCCCACAUCGGUGAUUAAUGAGAUGGGUGGACUCCUUAUAAGGCUUGGGCAAUCCUCCUCCCUUUGAGCUAGCUUUUGGGGUGUGAGUUAGGUCUAAGACCUAAUUUAACACCUUUUGGCAAAAUAUGCCUACUCAUGAUGAACUUAUCAAUAAUAAGCAAGAGGUUGAAACUUGAAGUUGAACAACGAUGAAACGUACCAAAUUACAAAUAUUUACACAUCUUACUCUUUAUUGGUUGAUUCUCCAAGACAAGAAGUUAACAAACUAUUUUUUAGUUAUUCUUUCAUCGGUUGCUUUUAAAUUUCUCUGUUGUAUUAUAUUAUGAUAGAAUUUCUAUUAAAUUUUAAAAAAAAAAAAAAAAUGUCAACGGUAUUCUUUGAUAUGUGUAUUAAUUUGUUGAGUUUUAACAAAUACAACGCAAGGUGUAUAAAUUGAUUUCACAAAAUCUUACAAAAUUAUUCCACGAAAAAAAUACUCAUUAAUUUAGCUAUAUGCUUAAUAUAGUAUAUAUAAGAUUUUAGAGUUUUUUUAUUACAUAUACCCGUACAUAUUAUUUUUCAUAAAAAAUAUUAUUCCUAACCUUAAAUAAAUAACUCUUGUUAUAUAAAAAAAAAUAACAUAUUUAAAAUUGUAUGAUAAAGAUAGUGUGGGCUGGUGUGAUCAAAGAAUAGAUGUGUAUAUAUAACUUUGUCGUCAACUCGUCAUCAAUUUAUGUUUUGAAAAAACUUUUUCUCUAUGUUUCUUCAUCUAAAUUUAUAAUUUAUAAAUUUUAAAAAGUCCAAAUAAUUUUUUAAUGUCACGAAAAUAUUUUAUUUAAGUUUUUGUAUUUCAAAAAAUUACUUUAUGAUGAUUUAUUAGUUUAAUUAACUUUUUAAAAUAUGGUAUAUAAAGAGGAAGUAUCCUAAUGAAAUGGAGAAAUGAGUAACUAUUAAAAAAAAAUUAUUAUCAAACAUUAUAUUUUUAUGCAAAAAAACAGAGCAAUUUUAUGAGAAUAGUUUUUUUCUUUGAUCUAAAACAAACAGAUGAUGAAUUAUUAUAUUUCUCCGAACGUGAUAAUGGGUGGGCUUUUUCUCUUACUUUGAUAAGUAAUGUAAAUUUUAUGAAUACAUAUAUAUAAGUUCUCUACUUUAAUUUAGAACUAAUAUUUAAAUUAUUUUUAUAGAAUUAGUUUAACUUUUUUUCUAAAAAUCAAAUCCUAAUAUAAUCUGUCACUGUUAAAUUAUAUGAUCUUUUCAUCUCUCAAAUUUUUAAUUCAUAAAUUAAAUUUGAUUAAAAGAAAAUCAUCUUAUUUUGAAGGAUUGAACUAGAGAGGAGUGUGCUAAAGAGGUUGCAAUAUGCUUGACCAGUGGCGGAACCAAGAUUUUCAAUAAGGGGGUUCAAAAUCUGAAAAAAUAGACAUACAAAGUAGUCGAAGGGAGUUUGACAUCUACUAUAUAUACCUAAAAAAUUAUUUUAACCAUGUAUAAAUCAUAUAAUUUUCCGCCGAAGGGGGUUCAGAUGAACCCCUAAUUGUAAGACGGCUCCGCCACUGUGCUUGACAAUAAUUUAAAUUUUACAUAAUAGUAGAGUUAUUAUUUUUAAUGGUAGGUUCAAAUCUAAUCUAUGAAUUUAAAAUGUAAUUAAUUAGUACAAAUAUGAAUCAAGCACACACCAUAGAUGCUAUUAAUCUUCGUUUUACUAAGAAAAGGCAGAAUGCUAGAAUAAUGUUUGGCAUCUUUGAGAAACAUAUUUUUACUGUAUUAGGAUAAUAAUUUAUUAGUAUCAAGUGAUUAUUAUUUAAAAUCAAAACACAGUAUAUGAUUGCACAAGCACUUAUGAUACUCAAGAAUAAUUCAUAUUAGUUAUUUUUAAAUUAAAAAAUUAUUAUAUUUUAAAAUAUUCGCACAAUGCACGGGUACAUUUACUAGUUUAAGCUAAAAAAGACCGGCAAUUGACACUUUGAACCUCCAUAUGUUAUUUUUUGUUUGGUUAUGCAUUAACUGGUAAAGUUUGAAUAACCCAUAACUAACACUCUGUUUGGAUCAUUGUUACCCAUUAUAUUGUAGUGUAUUGUUAUCAUACAUACAAUAUUUGUUUUGAUCGUUACUUAAAAUGUAUUGUAUUAUUAAAUUUCAUUGUUUGUAACAAUGAAAAUCCCCAUUUUACGGAACAACCGAUUUGGUGUGUUCCUAUUUUUGUUAUACUAUAAGUGAAGGUGAUAUAAACAUCAUCACUUAAAUGCUCAUCUCCUACAAUUUGGGAGACUAUAUAGUAGAUUUACAACAUCACUUAGUGCAUCUAUUUUACAAUAUUAGCAGAUACCCAAACAUGCUAAUUAUGUUCACUAGCUACCUACAAGAUAGAUAAAAGCAAGCUAGUGGGUAAUUAAAAAACCACAGCAGCAGUUGAUGAGUUUCUCUUAGCUAGAUGAGAAAUAUUCAACACUUUGAUACAUCUGGACAGCUUCAUAACUAUUAAUAUUAUAAACUCUUUCUUCAGUUGGAUGCAACUUAACAACAUGAGAUUUUUGGGGAUAGUAUUUAUAAGGAGCUGUAUUAUUUUGCCUUUCUGGAGGUGAAAGUCUUUCCUUUCUUUUACCCCAAAAUUCAUCAAUAAGAUCAAACCCCUCUUGCCCUAUCUUGGCUAGCAACUGCUCUUUUCUAUGUGCCAUUUCUUUGUGUGUGUGUGUGUAAGUGGAGAAAGUUGGUGUGAUAUCUAGCUUAGUAGAGAGAAAGAGAAGAAGAUUGUGUGUUUGUUUAGAUAGUUUCAUGGCUAUAGACCCUUUAUAUAGGAACAAGAGUUCCACAAUCAUGAUAAGGUAGAAAAGGUAUUGUAUCUAAGGGUGUCUUUGGUAUUCAAAAUACUUUAAAUAUUGAACUCACAGGAAAUUACAGUAAAAAAUGUAUACUG
rnacentral:lncRNA from 1 species